rnacentral:lncRNA from 1 species
CUGGUAAUCUCAAUUUCUUUGUUGUAAUUUUUCAUUUCCAUUUUUAUUAUGUGUCAUGUGUUGUUGCUUACUUGCCUGUGUAAUUUGAGGCCGUGUGAUUUAUCAUGGAAUUAUCAAUUAUGGAUGUACUUGAAUAAUGUUAAAACUUCUCAUGGAAAGUUCAUACAAAGACAUGCAAAUUGAUAAGGUGCGGUUUUAUGUGUGUGUCUGUGUGUGAGGUCCGAAUGUUACAUGAAUAAACAUCAAACUAUUACUACCCAUUGUUUAUUGUUUCUUAAUCGUAUCUUUAGCGAAGUCUUAUUAGUAAUCAAAAUUAAAUAUUUGGAUCAUAAUUUAUGAUCAGGAUAAGAGAUGAUCUAUCAUAGUUGUGGCCUGGGGUGUAUGGAAUGUGAAGUUCUAGUCAAGGGUAGCUGGGUUGUUGUAUUUUAAGUUGAUAUGAAUUUUGUUCUUGGACACACAAGUGGGACUGCAGAGCAUGGGACAGACAGAAAUGGAGGAAUAAUCGAUAGCCGGACUGAGGGAAAUUUUAUGUAUCUAAAGUUUGUAAACUUGAUUAUAUGUAAUUCUGGUGAUGUUUUUUUUUAUACUGAUCCUGAUCCUGAUCCUGAUAAUUGAGUGCAGCAAAUCUUGGGUUUUAUGGUUGUGAUUGGUGAUUUUAGCAAAGGAUAGGAAUAGAUGUGAAAUUAAAUCUUAAUCAUGGAUAGUUGCAAAUGUACAUGUGACGAGAUUUGCACAUUCAGUCACUUGUUCAUAAAAUUGAUUGAUAUAAUUUUUGUUCUUGGACACAGGAGUGGGACUCUACAGAGCAGGGGGCUGACAGAAAGGGAGGAAAUAUGAAAGCUGGAUGCCUGGAUUUCUGGGAAUUGGUUGAGGAAUGGGGAGAGGGAAAUUUUAUGUGUCUAAAGUUUGUGAAUUUGAUUAUGUUGAUUGAUACUGAUCCUGAUCCUGAUCAAAUCAAACUCAAUUCCCGUUUGCUCUUCACAUUCACGUGCCACUCUUUAUCUCCAUGUUAUUUUUACGUUGGAAGAAAACAAAAGAAAAAGAAAGAAAGAAAGAAAUGACAACAGAAGAAAAUAGAGAGUAAGCAUUAGCUCAAAAUGGUGUUUAAUUAAGUGGGAGACGGAAGGUAAUGUGUUAAAAAAGUGAUGAUACAGUUAUAAAUUUUUGUAUAAAUUUAUUUUGUAUAAAAUGACGUGACAUUAAUUCAUUGAUUGAAUAAAAAUAUAAAAUAAUACAAAUAAAUUAUGUUGGUUAAAAGAUAUUUAAUUUAACUAAUUUUAUCGUGCCACAUCAAUUUGUACAAGAUAAAUUUGUAUAAAAAUUUGUGACUAUAUCAUUUUUCGUGUUAAAAAUAUAGGGACGAUGAUAAUUAACUAAAUUAAGUUUUAUUACUGAAGUAAAUUACAAAAGAGAUAUUUUGUUUUUGAAAAAUAAAGAAGGUUACGCUUAAAAAUAAGCUUUUACCACGCAGCUACAGAAACCUCGGAAGUUUUAUGUCGGCCGAUUAAUAGCCCAAUAAGUCACCCAUAAAUAAUCGAUUGAAGAAUGCGCCUGAUAGUAAAUAGCAAGAACUGGGCCAAUCCAGAAUAGUACAAGAGAAACGCUGUUAGCACCCCUCCAACUUCCUGAAAAUACCCCGUUUGUAAGUGUUCCACGUAAAUUCUUUUACGUAUAGUCAUAGAUUACUUUCUCAGAAUCCCAUGUUGAUUCCAAAACUAUCCUCCAUCUCUUUGCAUUUUAUUUUUCAUUUUUGAAUUCUCUUUCACUUCAAAAACGAUUCCGGUGUUGCAAGAGCUCGUACUCGUCGAUAUCGAGAAGUUAACUCAAUACACACGUUUAUUACCCAUCUCAAUGCAGAGGCGAUAGUCACCAUGAGAAUCAAAGCAAUUUUAUUGCUAUCGAACCUAAUGUUAAUGACCAUUAUUAUAACGAUGGUUGUGAUGACCACCAGACGAUUAGUAGUCAUCAAUGUUAUGGUGAUGUUUUGAAUAAGGUUAACAGAGUAAAAGCUACUAAAGCCUAAAGUGAAGAAUUUUCAAUGAGAUUAAAAAUUCAGCCUUAGAAAUUAUUAUAUAGGAUUCGAGAAAAGAUCCAAAAACUAUUGUGUCUAACACAAGAUAUAAGAUAACCUCGUGCCCUCCAUAAAUCAUUUACUUCUCCUUUAAAUAAUAUCCUGUAAUUGUUUUCUCAAUCGUAUUUUAUAAUAGAUUGUCCAUUCAACACUAUCAUUACAAAUAAUUUCUUAAUUCUACUAAUCUUAACCCUUGAGAUAGUUGAACAUAGAGAGAGAGAGAGAGUUUAUUUGGAGAAGAAAAUGAAUGGGGUUAUUUGGGAGAUAAAUGCCAAACAUAAGAUAUGAUUAUUUAUAGUUUAAUCCAAUGUUGUACCAAAUACAACAUAAUAUUAUAUAUAAUCUAGUAUUAUCCAAUCCAAUCAUAUCUUAUAUGAUCUAAUCCAAUCUAAUCUGACAUGUCAAACAAGCCCUUAGUGUAUGUAUUUAGAUUUCAAGUAGAUUUCAUAUUGUGUUAUAUAGCUACAUAGCUCAGCCUUUUGAUUUCAACUUCUUAUUUACCCAAAAAAAAAAAAAAAAAAAUGUUCAAUUGCAUACUUGCAUUGCAUUGGAUGUAGGCUCAGCUCAAGUCUUAUUGUUGGUUUCUGGCUUUAUGCUUUCUUUUAGGGAGUCACAGCUGUAAAGCCUCUCUUAUUCCCUUAUGGGUAAACUUGAUCUUAACAACCCAAUCAUUUCCUUCUUUUUAAUUAUUAUUAUUAUUAUUAUUAUAGAGCAUUCUUGUAGUACCGUUUCUUUAAAAGGAAAAAAAAAAUUUACGAACACCUUGGUUUAUCUAAAAUGCAUUCAUUAUGCUUAAAAUAAAUAAAUAAAUUCACUUAAAUCUAAAAAAAGAUGCAAUCUAUUACAUGAAUGAAACAAUGUAAAAAUGAUUGUAAAUGAAUGGAAAGUGAAAAAUUUACCCAAUCAGAAAAUCUCCAAAUGUUUAGGCCUGAACGGAAGGAAAGAUUAGCCGCUGUGAACAAGUGGUUUUUAUUGAGAUAAUCCAAUGGGCUUAAAUUUUCCAAUUGGUGUUUUUCUCCAACCAUACCAUGUGCGGUAAACUACUACUAAAAAUUCUUCAUCAAAAAAGUCUAAACAUAUAGCGAAAUGAUUGUUUUUUUUUAGGUGGAAUAUUCUUAGAAUCCCAUGCUUGAUGCUUCGACAUUUCAAAGAAUCAAUGACCUAAUUCUCAAUCUUUCUCCUAGUAGAUUUGCUGAUUGAUUGAAUAAGAAAUUAGGCUUCAAAUUUUCAAAGGCAAAUGAGUCUCAAAGUGCUUUCGGCCGCGUUAACAACCACAAGCCUAGUUACUAUAUCUUGUUUCUAACCCAUUAGAGAAGGUCAACGAUUUUUUUUUUCUUUUUUCUAAUUAACCUUUUCAUUCGUUAAGAGACAUCAGUGAAUUGGAUAAAUAGUAUGUAUUUACACUUUAAAGUAUUUGAUUUUAUCAUAUUAAUUAAAAAGAUAGCAAACACUCUGCUAUAAGCCGUUAUAAUGAUUUGGAAAUUGUUUUUUUUUUUUUUGGCAAAAGUAUUUUAUAAAAAAAAAAAAAAGGAAAUCCCUUUAUGGCGAUACUAAAAAAAUAAAACUUAAGUAAAACAAUCUCAAAGAAAAGGCAAAACAAAUAAACAACAUAUUUCAUAUAUUUUUAUUAAUUGGAGCUCUUUUCAAAUUAUGUAAAGGUCAAUUUGACAUUUAUUAGGUCUAACGUAGUUCAUAUAUGUUGGGUGUAGGGGGAUGAGGAGGAGCGGUUUGACUUAAGAUUUUUAAGCAUCUAACAGCAUUUGCGUAAGGCACAUUUAUCAUAUCAAAUGGAGAUGAAUACUAAAACAUCAAAAUGGUAAUGUUUGAAGUAGCUCUUGAAGCAGGGAAAAACCAAGGCUAAAACCAAGAAUCUGAAAUGCUUCUUCUAUCACAAAGAAGGGAAUUUCAAGAAAAAUUGUCCAGAAAAGAAGUUUGAGAAAAAAUAAUGAAAUGGGGGUGCUACUACAGUAGAAGAAAAAGACCAUGAGUUUGCUGGUCUGUGCAUUCCAACAGAAAGCAGAGGAAGAGGAGCUUCGAUUCAAGGUGGAUAAAUGUGGAACAAUUUGCUGAAUUCAAAACUUGGACCUAUUAAACGACAUCAUUUCGCUUACUAAUGUGUUUCAAGUUAUCAUGAGCUGGACAUGUAACUCACUUAAAGUCUUAAACAUCAAAACGACAACACAUGAAGAUGUUUUGAUAAAGGAUUAAGUGAUGCACGUGAUGAAACAUGUGAGAGGAGAAUCAAGUUCAUUGCAAAGCCGUUAUCCACGUGGCUGAUUCUGGUGCAAUUUGGGUUUGAUAUUAACUGUUAUAACAGCUAAUUGUUGACGGAGUUUCAGCAUGACCUUGAGAGCAUUCUAGAGAUAAUUAAGAGAUAGAUAGAGAGAGAGUCAUCUUAUUUUAGGAUCCCAUGCUUGAUGCUUCAAAAUUUCAAAGAAAUAAUGACCUAAUAAUUCUCAAUCUUUCUUCUAGUGGAUUUGAUGAUUGAUUGAAUAACAAAUCAGGCUUCAAUUUUUCGAAGGCAAAUGAGUGUAAAAGGGCUUUAGGCCACAUUAACCACCACAAGCCUAGUUACUCUCUAUCUUGUUUCUAAUCCAUUAAAGAGUUCAUCAUAAUUGUGGGUUUGAAUUGUAUAGGUUGAUAAAGAUAUAUACACAUAAGGUCAAUGUUUUUUUUGGUUCUUUUUUCGACAUCAGUGAAUUAGAUAAAUAGUCUAUAUUUACAAUUUAAAAUAUUUGAUUUUAUCGAAUUGAUUAAAAAGAUAGCAAACACUCUCCUCUAAAUUAUCUUAAAAUCUCUCUUUUUAAAAAAAAAAAAAAAAGAAAUUUCAUGAAAAAGAAAAAGAAAAGAGAAAUCCUUUUAUGGGCGAUAAUCAAAAACAAAAAUUAAGUAAAACAAAUUCAAAGAAAAGAAAAUACAAACAAACUACAUAUUUCUUGUAUUUCUAUCAAUUGGAGUUCUCUUAAUUCUGUGUAGAGAUCGAUUUGACAUUUGUUGGAUUUAAUGCACUUCACGUAUCUAAACAAUAAUUCUCUAGAGACAAAAUUACUUGUGCUUAAAUACAAAUUUGAGCUACACUAUCAUAAAAAAAUGUGCAGACAUCCACACUUUUUACAUAUGUGAAUAUUGGCUACAUAGACCUCUUGCUUUUAGUGCAAAAAAUUAAAUAAAUUAUUCUUACUUCUAUGUUAAUGAGUUGCAGGUUUCAAAUGCGAAACCUGCAACUAUGAUAUUAUGAUUCUUCUUGAUCGUUUGAUUAAAUGAAUUAAAACCAUUCAACAAAGCAAUGAGAUUUAUAUUUUAAUCAAAUCAUUCAACAAAGAACAAGAUUUAUAAAAAAAAAUUGACGAUUACCAAUUAAAAACAAACAUAAAAUAAUACGACAUCGAAACAGAUCCGAUUCAGUGGUUGACAUGCUAACAGUAGGUACACCAACACAACAUAAAUUAAUUCCAUCCCACGAGAAAUUUAAAAAAGUUGGCACUCACAAUGUUCACAAUCCCACUACAUGAUUACAUUAAAAUAACUCUCGCUAUAAUUAUAAUUAUAAUUAUAAUUAUAAAGUUAAUUUAUAUACUUAAUUUAUAUACAAAAUACAGUUAAUUAUAAUUAUGACGAAGACCCAUAACCCCAUGUAAAAGUAUAGUAAUGAUCCAGUAAUUAAAGCGAAACUAAAAAAAAGAAAAAGAAAACUCUAAAUAUAUCUAGAUAUAUAAAAUGCGUUUAUAAAAUAUGAGAGUGGCUAGCUAACAAGUCCACAUUGAUUCCUCAUAAUGAGCCAAGUCCAUGUCGUAGAUGGGCUUGGUCUGAGAAGCCACGAGCUUGGACGAGGGAGAGCCGCUGUUGCUUGGGCUAGCCGGGCCGAACCCGUGGCUCGACAAGGACGCAGUUUGGCGAACCCGUAAGUGCACCACCUCGGCUUGAGCCAGGGCCAAUUGGGUCUGUAGCACGUCUAUUUGAUUUUGCAGAGACGAAAUGGCUCCAACGCAACCGUACACUGGAUCACGAACUCUUGCGUUCGCUUCAUACACCAUGCUGCUCACAGCAUCUCCUCUUUGGUGCACUGGCAAUUCCUUUUAAUUUUUACAAAAUUAAAAAUCUUGCAUCAGCUAGAUAUGGUAAAUUAUUAAUCAAAGAAAUUUACACCUAAUUCCACGUCUUUUUACUUAAUUAGAGAAAUAAAACGUGUUAAUUGUCUAAGUAUUGUUUGCCUUUUUACUUCUAUCAGGUCAUAAUCUAGAUGAUUACAAGCUUUUAAUUUGGAGUUUAAUGGGUGCAUGUCUUCCUCAUCUUUGUGGCAGUACCAUUUCUUGUUCUGAAAAAAAAUAAUAAUAAUUAAUUUCUCUUUCGCACAAUUGAUUUUGAUACUAUAGCAUCUCCAGCAGUGGCCCUAAAUGUCCAAAAAUGUCAUUAUUAUCACCUUGUAGCACUCGCUUUUGCUUGCCCCCUCCAAAUUCGUAAUCCCUCUUGCAUUCAUUUGAAUUACCCAUUAGAGAUUACAAGUAAAAUUACCUUUUGACCCAUUAAAACCUGAGAGAGUUUCUUGAGCUCUCUAAUUAGCAAGUGGGAACCACAAUUUUCCUAUAGGGGCACUGAUAUCAGCUUGGGAUGAAAAAUUAAAUUUUGAAAAUAACUGGAAAGGUUGAGGCUUCAUUUAAUUUUGUCAAGUCAAUUCAUCAACAAAUAAUAAUAUUUUUUUUUUCUUUUCUUCAAAAUAACUUUUUCUUUUCUUCACAAUGAUUUUAUUUGAAUAUUCGGUUAUAUUCAUCAUAUGAUUUUCUAUCAUUAGUGGGAAUCCACUGUAUUUAAAUCCUGAUUUCAUUUUAGGACCGCAAGAGAUUUUUUUUUUUUGGUUAAAUAAACUAAUAACUAUAUUCUCAUAAAAGUAUUUAUUUACACUUAAUGAUAGAGAGCUCACUCUAAACCCACAUAAAUUUUAUAAACAAAAAUUGAAUAUUUAAAUUAAUAAUAAUAGUUAUCCCAAAAAUUUGCUUUCGUAGAGUUGAGGUGGGAUUCAUUGGUGGAGUGCGUAUCAUUUUUCUUAAUUUGUUUGCUUUCUUUUUUAAAAAAUAAAAGUUUAGUUUACAUAAAGCAUAAAAAAGGAAAGCAAAUUAAAGGACAUGUUUGGAAGCAACUUCAACUUCUUGAAGGAAGGAUUAGUUUCUAUCAGAAGCUGCUUCCAUACACAACCUUGUAAUUGUGUCACUAAAACAAAAAUAAAAAGUAAAAUGCAGUUUAUUUAUAAAAAAAAAAAAAAAGUCAGGUACCUGUAGCAUCUUGUUGACAUUGCUAGCACCAAAAACCUUGUGCACAUUAGCAAAUUUCUGAGGCUCAUCAGCUGGAAAAUAAGGGGCAAAAACGCAAUCCUGGGCACACCUUCUCCUUAGAAGCUUGCAUGCUGCACAUGGUGAUGGUGCACCUUGUUUCCUACCACUCUCCUUCAUCCUGCCACGUGUCCCCCCCUAAACCCCACUAAGUAUCUACCCUGUUAAGAAUUUAAGGCACCACCUAGGGCACUUUCCCUUAAAAUAAAAGCCAAAAGGAAUUUUUAGGGUUAUAGCAUAUGUUUAGAUUUGGAAGCUUAAUUAAACGCAAAAGAGAGUUGAAAGAUACAGUAAAGAGGAAGACGAAGAAGAAGAAGAAGAAGAAGAAAAGAAGCAAAAGAGAGAGAUUGAUUAUGAGAGGGGGUAUGAAGAGAAGAGGGGGCGGUGAUUUUAUAAGCAUAAAGGGUCAUUCAGUAAUCAGUAUACAUCUGAGGUGGGUACCACAAAGCAACCCUUUAGAUUUUUUGGUCGACAGAAAACAAAUUUCUCUUGACAUGACUCCAAUUUUUAUUUUUUUCUUUAAAUUUGUUUCUUCAGUUUUUUUUUCUUUCGCUACUUUUGUUGAAUUUUAUAUUCUUGCCGUUGUGGAUAAUUUUAUUUAAUAUCUGUUUAUACGCAUCAUUGCAUGUUAUUUUAGUAUUACUUUGUAUUAUAUAUGAUAGGACCUGUCUAUGGUACAGAUUCUGUAACAAACAUCUCCCGUCAUCCCACCAUCCGAUUUUCUAUUGUUUAGUUUCUCACUCCACAUCGAACCACAUCCAACGGCUGAUGAUGCAGUCUGUAGGUUACAGAUUCUGUAAGCUAGUCAAGUCCUAUAUGAUAAUAUAUAUAUAUAUAUAUGUGUGCGCAAGCGCAACAGAAAAGGUAAUUUAUUUUGUUGAGUUUUGUUGUUAAUUUAAAGAAGGGAUCGUGAUGGUUCAUUUUUGUGGGCCCUCCUUCUAGGCUUCCUAAAUAGUGUAAACUAUGCAUGAAUGCAUGCAUGCAUAAUUGCAACAUAUAUAGAUACAUGAUGCCCCAUUUUGUAUCCCUCAUUGUAAUAAUAGAAUGGGUCAUGUUGAAUACAAUAUUCUAUAACAUCAUAAUAACAAUUCUUUUGCAACAUGAAACAUCAACCUUGCUCAUCAUGAAAUACUUUCGUCAUAUUUAUAUGUGAGAUUUCUAUUUUCACGUUAACACGUUAAAAAGAACACAAAGAUAUUAAAAGUCUGUGUCUAUAGUACUAUAGGAAAAACCCUAAUAAUUAAACAUAUAUAUAUAUAUAAUUAAAUAAAUAUGAUGUUGAAUAAAUUAUGGAGUUGUGGAUCCAAUGUAUAUAUGUACAAAAAAAGUUUCGCCCCCAUGCCUUGUGUUCCACGCCUUUGGAAUUAUCUCAGCUAUUCACGUGCUGCAUGAAAUUCUCUCAAAUGGUGUGAACCUAUGGGCCAAAAUCUCCAAAAGUACUCAAAUGGGAAGAUAAUACCAAAGCUAAGAUACUGGAAUUUGAGGGAGGAUAAAAGAAAUUGAGAAAAAGAUGAGAAGAGAUAAAGAAAGGAUUAUUCUAGUCUCUAGACAAUAAAGCAAAUACUCAGCAGUCUUUGUUAUAAAGUUUAGCCAAGAUAGUUGCGUACACUUUCUUGGAGUUUGGAAAAAAUAGCGUACUAAAGGGGUUGCGACGGUAUUUUAGCAAAUUAGACUUCACUGUUUGGUAAUUCAUCAGUCAGAUAUAUGCAAAAAUUGAGUGGUUUAAUUAAGAUGUUUGAUUAUUUCGUAGUUAAAAGUUUGGAUCAGGAUGAUGAGGAUUAGGAUUUGAAAAGUUUGGGAUUAGUAUAAUCGUUCUUCUUUAAUUAAUAAAAUAUAAUAUAAAUAUGUAAAUAGAAAUCGUUUUAAUAGAUAAUUUGAUAUGUAUAGUUUGACUGGACAUUUCUGCAUUUGGAGAAAAAUUUGCGUACGCUAAUCCUUUCCUACCACCUCAGCCGGACUCAGCUGGUAGGAUGAGCCACUGAGAAAUUUUAUCAUUUGAAUGUUGACAGGUCUGAUAAGAGGACCUUGCGCGGGCUCCACUUUGGAAUUCAUAAAAUUUAAUAUAAAAAUCAAAGGAACACAGUCUAUUCUAACACCUUACCACGUUGAGGUGUCGAGGUGUUGAGGUGGUGAGAGUGACCUACACAAACACAAAUUUCUCUUUUGAUGUUGUUGUGCAAUACAUGGUAUAAAAUAUUUAAUUAAAAAAAAAAAGCUCUCACUAGUUAUACAAUCAAAAUGUAAAUUUGGCUGAUAUCAAAAAUAGUAUAUUGCUUUCCAUAAAUACAUACAUACAUACAUACAUACAUACAUACAUAUAUAUAUAUAUAUAUCNNNNNNNNNNNNNNNNNNNNNNNNNNNNNNNNNNNNNNNNNNNNNNNNNNNNNNNNNNNNNNNNNNNNNNNNNNNNNNNNNNNNNNNNNNNNNNNNNNNNNNNNNNNNNNNNNNNNNNNNNNNNNNNNNNNNNNNNNNNNNNNNNNNNNNNNNNNNNNNNNNNNNNNNNNNNNNNNNNNNNNNNNNNNNNNNNNNNNNNNNNNNNNNNNNNNNNNNNNNNNNNNNNNNNNNNNNNNNNNNNNNNNNNNNNNNNNNNNNNNNNNNNNNNNNNNNNNNNNNNNNNNNNNNNNNNNNNNNNNNNNNNNNNNNNNNNNNNNNNNNNNNNNNNNNNNNNNNNNNNNNNNNNNNNNNNNNNNNNNNNNNNNNNNNNNNNNNNNNNNNNNNNNNNNNNNNNNNNNNNNNNNNNNNNNNNNNNNNNNNNNNNNNNNNNNNNNNNNNNNNNNNNNNNNNNNNNNNNNNNNNNNNNNNNNNNNNNNNNNNNNNNNNNNNNNNNNNNNNNNNNNNNNNNNNNNNNNNNNNNNNNNNNNNNNNNNNNNNNNNNNNNNNNNNNNNNNNNNNNNNNNNNNNNNNNNNNNNNNNNNNNNNNNNNNNNNNNNNNNNNNNNNNNNNNNNNNNNNNNNNNNNNNNNNNNNNNNNNNNNNNNNNNNNNNNNNNNNNNNNNNNNNNNNNNNNNNNNNNNNNNNNNNNNNNNNNNNNNNNNNNNNNNNNNNNNNNNNNNNNNNNNNNNNNNNNNNNNNNNNNNNNNNNNNNNNNNNNNNNNNNNNNNNNNNNNNNNNNNNNNNNNNNNNNNNNNNNNNNNNNNNNNNNNNNNNNNNNNNNNNNNNNNNNNNNNNNNNNNNNNNNNNNNNNNNNNNNNNNNNNNNNNNNNNNNNNNNNNNNNNNNNNNNNNNNNNNNNNNNNNNNNNNNNNNNNNNNNNNNNNNNNNNNNNNNNNNNNNNNNNNNNNNNNNNNNNNNNNNNNNNNNNNNNNNNNNNNNNNNNNNNNNNNNNNNNNNNNNNNNNNNNNNNNNNNNNNNNNNNNNNNNNNNNNNNNNNNNNNNNNNNNNNNNNNNNNNNNNNNNNNNNNNNNNNNNNNNNNNNNNNNNNNNNNNNNNNNNNNNNNNNNNNNNNNNNNNNNNNNNNNNNNNNNNNNNNNNNNNNNNNNNNNNNNNNNNNNNNNNNNNNNNNNNNNNNNNNNNNNNNNNNNNNNNNNNNNNNNNNNNNNNNNNNNNNNNNNNNNNNNNNNNNNNNNNNNNNNNNNNNNNNNNNNNNNNNNNNNNNNNNNNNNNNNNNNNNNNNNNNNNNNNNNNNNNNNNNNNNNNNNNNNNNNNNNNNNNNNNNNNNNNNNNNNNNNNNNNNNNNNNNNNNNNNNNNNNNNNNNNNNNNNNNNNNNNNNNNNNNNNNNNNNNNNNNNNNNNNNNNNNNNNNNNNNNNNNNNNNNNNNNNNNNNNNNNNNNNNNNNNNNNNNNNNNNNNNNNNNNNNNNNNNNNNNNNNNNNNNNNNNNNNNNNNNNNNNNNNNNNNNNNNNNNNNNNNNNNNNNNNNNNNNNNNNNNNNNNNNNNNNNNNNNNNNNNNNNNNNNNNNNNNNNNNNNNNNNNNNNNNNNNNNNNNNNNNNNNNNNNNNNNNNNNNNNNNNNNNNNNNNNNNNNNNNNNNNNNNNNNNNNNNNNNNNNNNNNNNNNNNNNNNNNNNNNNNNNNNNNNNNNNNNNNNNNNNNNNNNNNNNNNNNNNNNNNNNNNNNNNNNNNNNNNNNNNNNNNNNNNNNNNNNNNNNNNNNNNNNNNNNNNNNNNNNNNNNNNNNNNNNNNNNNNNNNNNNNNNNNNNNNNNNNNNNNNNNNNNNNNNNNNNNNNNNNNNNNNNNNNNNNNNNNNNNNNNNNNNNNNNNNNNNNNNNNNNNNNNNNNNNNNNNNNNNNNNNNNNNNNNNNNNNNNNNNNNNNNNNNNNNNNNNNNNNNNNNNNNNNNNNNNNNNNNNNNNNNNNNNNNNNNNNNNNNNNNNNNNNNNNNNNNNNNNNNNNNNNNNNNNNNNNNNNNNNNNNNNNNNNNNNNNNNNNNNNNNNNNNNNNNNNNNNNNNNNNNNNNNNNNNNNNNNNNNNNNNNNNNNNNNNNNNNNNNNNNNNNNNNNNNNNNNNNNNNNNNNNNNNNNNNNNNNNNNNNNNNNNNNNNNNNNNNNNNNNNNNNNNNNNNNNNNNNNNNNNNNNNNNNNNCAUACAUACAUACAUACAUACAUACAUAUAUAUAUAUAUAUAUAUAUAUAUAUAUAUAUAUAUAUAUAUAUAUAUAUAUAUAUAUAUAUAUAUAUAUAUAUAUAUAUAUAUAUAUAUAUAUAUAUAUAUAUAUAUAUAUAUAUAUAUAUAUAUAUAUAUAUAUAUAUAUAUAUAUAUAUAUAUAUAUAUAUAUAUAUAUAUAUAUAUAUAUAUAUAUAUAUAUAUAUAUAUAUAUAUAUAUAUAUAUAUAUAUAUAUAUAUAUAUAUAUAUAUAUAUAUAUAUAUAUAUAUAUAUAUAUAUAUAUAUAUAUAUAUAUAUAUAUAUAUAUAUAUAUAUAUAUAUAUAUAUAUAUAUAUAUAUAUAUAUAUAUAUAUAUAUAUAUAUAUAUAUAUAUGAACAUGGGCAUCAUGAAUUUGAAUUGAGGGAAGAAAAUUUAGGUACAAUGGUUUUAAUAGGAUUACUUCAAAUGUUCUCUCUGAAAUUAUUAUUUAUUAUGCAUACAUACGAAGUUUCAUUGAAUUUUAUAAUUAAAAUAUCAUAUUAGAAAUUAUAUGGCUUUUUAUUUACUUGCUGUUUUUCAAUUUAAAUUUUAUACCUUACGGCAUUUUAGUUAAUUAUAUAUGUAAUUUGUGGUCUCGGACUUGACCAAAAGAUUUUAAAAGAGUUUUAUUUGACUGACCACUUAAGUUCGAAUCUUGGAGAGUAUGACUAUAUGAGACUAAAAAAUUACUUUAAACUUUAUCCACCACCAUAUAGAUAUAUGACUUUGUUAAUGUUCAGAAAAAAAUAUUAUAUCAUAUAAAGUAAUAGUUUUACCGAACUUUAAUAAAAUUUAAAUUUGAGAAUAUAUAUAUAUAUAUAGGUAUCUUGUAAAAAACCAAAUGCUUACAAUUUCUUGUUUGGAUAUUUUUAUGUUUAACGACCAACAGUAUGAUAAUUUCAGUGCCUUCACUGCUAAGACACAAUGCUUAGUGUCUAACAUGCCCCCCAUCAUAAAGCAUAGUGGCACCUUUUAAUAAAGAUCCUCUGUUAAUAUCUACUGAUUACCAUUAUAUUGUUAAGUGGUUUUAUCAAAAGUAAGUGCUUUAGACAAAUCAACAACCAUAAUUAUGAACAACAAUCAUCUCAAGUUUGCAAAAUCUCCUUUGAUAACCAAAAAGUAAUCAUGAGUUCUUCUUGACAUCGUUUGUUGAAUGUAAAUGUUUCUCUUUCAAAAGCACCCCCCCAAAAAACAAAUUCCUAUUUCCGUUAUCAUCAACCAAUAAGAAAGCGUUUUUUUUUUUUAAACUCCGGAAGAAAAAUAGUUUAGAUCUCUCAUUGACUUUGGUUUGGUAAGUGACAUCCACGCCUUAAACCAUUGACUUUUGCCAAGAAUAAAAUCAACGGCAAACAGUGGCCAAUCCUGAUUCAACCUCAUUAUUAUAGCAAUAAUCUAAAUCAUUACUCAAAUCAUACCUAAAAGUGCCGGUUUUUGUGAUGCACAAUCUUUUUUUUUUUUUGGGAGGGGCAAAUUUUUUUUUUUUUUUGGGGGGGGGGGGGGGGUGAAAAUUAAAUAUAUGUAGACUAUUUUACAGUGUAUAUUGAUAAAAUACGUUUAAACCUUUAAAUACAGUUAAUUGCAAAUUAUUUUAAUUAAUUCUCAUAGUAUAUAUUUUACAUGCAUUCAUUUUGUUUUAAUUUAUUAUUUAAUAUAAUAGUCUUUAAGCUAGAACUUUAAGAGACUCAAAUGGGUUUUCAACGUGAUGACAUGUUGUAAUAUUUACAAAUAAUACAAAAUAUUAGAAUUUUUCUUUUUAAAAUUGUUACUUUUUUCAUAAAUAUAUAUUUAUUUAUUUGAAAUUAUUUUAAUUACGACACCAACUACGUACACGAUUAAAAGUAAUUAAAAUAAUUUUAAAUAUAUAUAUAUAUAUAUAAAUGUAACCAUUUUUAUUAGUCUGGGUUGUGGUACGGGCUUAAAGGUGUCUCCCAUAAUUGGGGCCCACUCAAGACCACCUCGUGAUUCAGACAAAAAAAAAAAAUUAAAAGGACCUCAAUGUCAUUCAAUUACACAUAUUAAGUGUUUAUCAAAGUAGUGACUCCAUACGACAGCGGAGAUUAGUCUGGGUUGUGGUACGAGCUUAAAGGUACCUCCCACAGUUGGGGCCCACUCAGGACCACCUCGUGGUUCAGACAAAAAAAAAAAAAAUUUAAAGGACAUCAAUGUCAUUCAAUUACACAUUAUUAUAAAUCACACGAAUGUAUCAUUCUUGCAGGCACACAUUGGUUAUCCUUAUUAUUUUUAAUGGCCCUAUUUAUACAAGAAAUUCGAUAAUAUAAAAAGGAUAUAAUCAAACACUAUGAUUCAUCCUCCAAAUCAAUGUGCGGUCUUGAUUCUUCAAUUCACUCCGAGAUAAAAUAGCAAUCUUUAAUUUUGCCUGACAUUAGUAUAAAAUUUCAAUUUAUCUCCUAUUUUUAUUGGGAAGAUGAUAACAAAUAGUGUGCGCAUUGAUGACUUUUUUUUCCUCUUCUUAGAAGUAAAUAGAUGGGCUAAUUUCAAAUUACUCCCCUUAUGAAUUGAUUAUCUUCAAAUUGUCCCUUUUACUUUUAAAAACUUCAAUUUAUCCCUCAUUUUUGUUAAAAAUACCCCUCCUUAGAUUAAUAGUCUUCAAUUUAUCCCCCAAAAGUAUUAAUACAUAUUUGGGUGAAUUUCAAAUUAUCCCCACAUGAAUUAAUUAUCAUCAAAUUGCCAGUUUACUUUUAAAAAUAUCAAAUUAUCCCUAUAUUUGGUCAAAAGAUAAGAGAAAAAAAGGUGGAUUGAUGACUUUCUUAACUACACACACACACACAACUUAAGUUAUUAAAAUAAGAGAUAAACUAAAAGACAUGUAAAACAUACAUUUUAUUGUAUUGCAGUAUAUUUUCUCCUGUAAUAAUAAUUUUUUUUUUACUUUUAGCUUAUCACAUACUUAAUCUCUCAUAAAAAAAAAGUUACUAUGUAUUUAUCAAUAUUAAAGUUAAAGUUAAAUUAAAAGAUAAAAAAAUAUAAAUUUCAAUAAAUUACAGGACAAAAAAUAAUGUGUAUUAGAGUUUGCAUUUUUUUUUUGUCUUUUUAUUUUUCCCUAACUUUAAUAUAGUUAGGGAUUGAUGGCUAGAACACUUUUAAUAUUACACACACAUAUACAUAUAUAAAAUGUAUAUGUGUGUGUGUCUAUGUAUAUGCAUGUAUGUAUGUAUUAUAAUGUGUAUACCAUACUCUUGCCUCAUGAACACACAUCACAUAAUGAUUUUGAUUAUUUGCCAUAUAUGCAUGUGAAAUGGCAGCUCCGUCCGCAUGAUCCCAAUCACAAAUUACAGACAAAAGAUUCGCGUUAUAACUUUGACAAUCCAUCGUUACAAGCCAAGAUCCACGCAACAGGUCGAGUCGCUGACAAUAACAAUUCUGCAUUUCACAUUCCAAAAACAUGUAGCCGUCGGCAAAUUUUCACAUCAAAACCGAAAACAAACGUAUUUUGAAUAGGUCUAUAGAUAUGUAGCCACGCGCAACUCUGAGAGAAGCAAGAACAUGCGCAUGUCAGUAUAACAACACAAAAGUAGUCAACUUUUUGCAGCUAUAAAUCUGAUUGAAAUUGAUAUUUUGGAUUACUACUUGCCUGCCAUAUAUUAGUAAACAAAAACAGCCGGCAGAUUGAGACCAGAUCGGUAGUGUGUGUGUGUGUGAGAGACCUCCUUUUAAUUAUAAUAUGCUUUGCCUCUAUUAACUCAAAAACUUAAUUAUAAUGUUUUAUAAUAAUAUAAAUAUAAUAUUAAAAUAAAUAUAACAAUAUGCACAUUUUAAAAUAGUGUGUAUGUGUGGUAAUUCCUAUCUUACAACUAAUGGAAGAUAUAUUACCUCACAUGAACAGUGUAUGUGUAGGGUUCAUGUACUGUUUAUGUGAGGGGUGUAUCUUACAUUAGUUGUAAGAUAGGGAGAUAUAUAUAUUGACAAUGAUACAACAAAUAAAUUUAUAAUAUAAAUUAGGUAAAAAGAUGUUUAUGUCCUCAAGGUAUAAAAAAUAGUAAGGUAGACUUUCAAAUUUUUUAUAAGAGAUAUUGAGACCUCCUUUUAAUUAUAAUAUGUUUUGCCUCUAUUAACUCAAAAACUUAAUUAUAAUGUUUUAUAAUAAUAUAAAUAUAAUAUUAAAAUAAAUAUAACAAUAUGCACAUUUUAAAAUAGUGAUGUACGGUACAGCAGUAAAACAAUUUUUAUAUUAUUAAAACAUGAGAUAUAUUUUAUUAAUAGUAAAAUCUAUUUAAACCAAACUUUUAUUUAAAUUUUUUAUAAUAAAUACAAAUAUAUUAUUAAAACAAAUAUAAUAUUUUAUAUUUUAAAAAUUACUUUAUAUAUUAAAUAAUAUUAUAAUAUUAUUAGUCUGCUAGACUAAUUAAACUAUUUAAAUUAUAUUUGUACUUAAUUCAAAUUUUUUAGUUACUAUAUACAAGGGGUAUUAUAGUUUAAGAGAAUCUUAGUGUCUCUUACUGAAAACUUGGGGGAUCUACAUGACUAUUUUUCCAAUCUUUGGAAGUAUUUUCUGAAACCUUGAGAGUAUAGGUAUGCUUUUCUCCAUAAAUUAUUAAAAUUGUACCAUAAAAAUCUAUUUUUGAAAUCCUUUUUAAUUUUUGAUAUAAUGGAAAGAAAAUGAGCAAUUAUAAUUAUAAAAAAUUUUAACCACGACAUUGUGAAAAUUUUAAUUGCUACCAUGUGUUAUUUUUUUUUCUUUUUAACUUUCUAAUACUAGUGAUAAUGUUAUAUAAUAAGUUGAAGCAAUAACAAUAUUUUAGCCCUAGUAAUUUCAAUUUAUUCAAUAAAUAUAUAAUUUAAUCAUUUUAAAAAUAAGUCACUAACUCUAAUUGAUAAAAAAAAAUAAUAAUUGAAUUAGGAACAUACUUGAAAAUAAAAUAAAAACUCUAUUAUUAUAUAAAAGUAAAUAAAACUUAAGGCUCAAGAGAGGCUUCAAUCCCCUAUGGACUAUUAUUUUUUGUUUUAAAUCUGCUCAAAGCCCCUUAAGAGUUAAAUUAAAAAAAGGAUAAAAUAUUUGUAAUUUAUCAAUAAUAUUAUUAUUUAGUGGUUUUAGAGACUUACUUCAAAUCCUAAUAGCCAUAUAAUUUUAUUUUUAAGAUAUUUUGUUGGAGAUUACUUACUAAAAGGAUAUUUUCACAAAUACGGCCACAAUGAGCUCAACAUUUAAAAUGAAUAUUUUAUUACUUUUUUUUAAUUUAAAACAAAUAAUAGAAUUUGAGAUGUUGAGACUUUAAAUGUAUUUAAGCAAACAGUAAAAAGAAUUAAGUACCCCAAAUAUAAUUUAAAAUUUUUUAAUUAGUCCCCUUAAUUUGAGUGUCGGGGUCUGCCACUACUAAUGAUAAUCUACCUUUUUAGUCUGAAUUAUUUGUUUCAUACAACAAUAUUUUGUGUUAGUAUUUUGGCUGCGAGAUGAUACAUGUUUAUUUCUACAAAUAAUUAAACUAAUUUUAGUUUGAUAUAUAUCUCCUAGUAAAAUCAUGUUAUUUCAUUUUAUCUAUUUAUUUAUUAGGAAAUGAGGAUUACCCCCAAUUGUUUAAAGAAAUUAAGCAAAAUGCACUUCAUGUUUUAAAAUAGAUCCACAUCUCUUUGCAGUUAUAAUGUUAAUCUUAUAUUUGUACUAUUAUGCCCCUAGUUUUAAUGUUAACCAUAAAAUUUAAAUAUUUUGAGAAUAUUUUUUUAAGCAAAAUGCCUUAUAUACCAUUAAUGAUUAAAUUAAUUUAAUAACAAAUUGCAAAAUACGGUGAAAAAUCACAAGUAGGGAAAAAUAUCAUAAAUACCCCUAGUAAUUGUAUAAAGUAUUCAUCUAAAUGAAUAUAACAAAUUUAAUGUAUUUUAUCUGUUUCUUAAUAUGGCACACAACUAGUUGUUUCGUUGGAAAAGCAUAGAUUGGAUCAUACCAAACACCUUUGCUGUUUACCACCAUUGAUAUUGUUGCGUGCUUACUUGCUUAUGCUAAUUGAGCAAUCUGAAUUAAUUAUUUCUUAUCAAACAGUAAUAAAGGUGUGUGAUUUAUUAUUUUUUCCGUGGUUGCUUAUAUAUCCCUUUCAUAAUUCAUAUAAUGAUUUGUUUUCUCUCUUUAAUUUAUUGUAUAUUAUUCAUUUGCAGUGAAUUGUUGAUGAGUUUAUUGUGUUUAGUCUAAUUAUUUAUUCAGCCUCUAUUGGUAUAUGUUCUUCAAUUGUUUUCUUUUUUAUGUUUUGAGAAGUAUAUUUAGAAUCUUAGAUUUCAUACACUUAGCAUAUAUUUUGGCAAGCCGGUUUAUACAACUAUUAAGGAUAUCCAAGAAAUUUUUCCUACUAGUAAUUUUUCUCUAUAACUUACAAAAUUUAUUAUUAAAUUAAUUUACUCAUUAAGGGCAUAUAAGUUAUUUUGUUUUAAAAAAAUCAUCAAAAAAUUUAAAUUUUAUGACUAACAUUAAGACUAGGGGUAGAGUAAUAACAUAAUAUAUAAAACCAAUAUCAUUAUAACUACAUGGGGGCUUGAACUUAUUUUAAAACAAGAGGGUAUUUUGUUCAAUUUCUUCAAAUAAUAGGGGAUAACCCUCAUUUUCGCAUUUAUUUAUUUAGUUUUAAGACUUUAUCGCAAGAAAAUGAACCAUGCAUCAAACGCUCCGUUUAUUAUGCUUUUCUUGGUUUCAACUUUUUGUUUCUCCGGUUUUUGAUAACCAAUUAAUCAUGGCUCAUGCUGUGCUUUAUGUAUUUGAUUAUAAAGUACUUUUUUAUUUUGGGGCAUGCAUUCUCAAUUCUCAUGCUUUACUGAUGAUCCACAUUUUCAACAUUAAAAGUAAACAAGGUAAGGAAGAAAAGAGAAAUGAAAGAAUCAAGAUAUAUAACCAUAAUUAAUUUUAUUUUAAAGAGCAUAUGAUGGAAAAGCUAAUGUGGGUGCAUAACUAACUACUCAUAAUCAGCUCCUUAAUGCCAAUAUCUUUGACAAAAUGGGACCAAUUAUUAUUGUUUUUCAGUCAAUUAUAUAUGGGGUCUACUAGCACUUAGUCAAUCAAAUGUUCUCCAACAACAUGGAUUCAAGCUCCACAAUCCAAGAAAAAAAAUAUACAACAACUCAUUUUUCAAGUUGGAAAAUUUUGUCAAUUAACCGCUAAAGUCUCUUGGUAUCAAUGAAAAAUAUAAUGUUAAAUUCAGUACAUAAUUAGAUAGAAGAUCUAAACUCUUUUCAUAUAAAAUUUAUGGCGUAGAUUUAUAUUAAAGGGAGAAUGCAUAUUUUAUUUUUAAUUAGAUUUUUAUAUUUAAAACUUAUAUCUCUAUUAGAUUUUAAUUACUUCAAAUGUUAAUAGUUUUUUAUUCAUUUGUAUUUUACCCAUUUCUUCGAUGAUUUUAUAACAUUUUUAAAUAGUUUGGUGUCAAAAUUAAAGAGAAGAUGAAAAUAAUUAAUCCUAUGUAAUUAUCAAUUUUUUUUUUAAUUCCAAUGGCUUGCGUCAGAUUUUAAAUUAAAUUUUAAAGAAUUACGCCUUAAAUGAUGUUUUGUUCUUAUUUUAACAACUAAUUCUAUUAUCUAUUAACAGGAUAGAUAAAAUAAGAAAUUAAAAAUGUAAUAGGAGUGUAAGUGGUAAAUAUAACAUUUAUAAAAAAUGAAACAUGUUCCUUGUAUUAAAUUUCACAAUAUAAUGUUAGUUGAGAGCUAAUUUAACAAAUUAUUUCAUUGUUUAUGCUAAAGUCAGCAACACCAAGAACUUUAUGAUAGGGGCAUAUUAUAAAAAUAAAGGCACCCAAAAGCCACAUUUGUUUAAUCUUGGAGCCAAAAUGCACAUGGGAUCAUAAUAUAUAUGUUAAUUCAUUUUUAUCAUAAUUUCAAAUCCACAUGUAAACAUCUAAUCAGUUCAUCCGCAAUCAAGUUCAAAGAGUGUAAAUCGGGGAAUUUAUUAAAACAAUUGCAUUACUUGCUGCCUAUAGAGAAACCAAGAAGUAUGCUGUAGGCAGGUAAAUUAGGUGAAGCAAUCAUUAUAUUCAAAAAGAAUAAAGUAUAUUUGAAUAACCCGCCGUUUAAGACAAUUCAAUUAGGUAUAGUUAUGGUCAAAUGUUUAUGGUCAAAACCUUGGAAUUAACUCAACGGCUGAGAUCUUCAACAAAAUUUAUUUGGUGAUAUGAUGACCUUUGGAUGUGAGAUUUGUGAACCCACAUGAGGGCAUGCUUUCGACCGUUGGAGUAGAAAAGAGAAUGAAUCUCUUUCGGUUGGUAAAAUAAAGAAAAAAGAAAAGGAGGGAAGGAAGCAACUAGAAUUUCAAAUCUAUUGAAACAACAUUAAGGCAUGAAAUUCAAAGCAAAGGGCCCCAAAUCGGUGGAAUUUAGGCAACUUUUUGUCUUCUAAAUAAUAUUUACCCAGUUUUGGAUAUAUUUGGGGUGGUCUAGACCCCCCUAAUAUAGAAGCACGAUAUGAGUGAAGACUCAACUCAAGCUUUAAGAAUAAGAAUUUUAUAAUAUUGGUAGAAAAAAGAAAUAUAAGUUUGCUAGAAAGUCACCCACCGAAAAGAAAUAUGUAAUCAUUUUGCCUAAGCCUUUUUUUCUCAUGGUUCAAGGUUCUGUGAAAAUUUUCAGUUCACACUUGCAUGUAAACAUUGUUUAGCUAGAUAUAUUAAAAUUUAAAAUUAUUUGUAAUAUUGUAUAAAACAAUUUUUAUAUUAUUAAAACAUGAGAUAUAUUUUAUUAAUAGUAAAAUCUAUUUAAACCAAACUUUUAUUUAAAUUUUUUAUAAUAAAUACAAAUAUAUUAUUAAAACAAAUAUAAUAUUUUAUAUUUUAAAAAUUACUUUAUAUAUUAAAUAAUAUUAUUAGUCUACUAGACUAAUUAAACUAUUUAAAUUAUAUUUGUACUUAAUUCAAAUUUUUUAGUUACUAUAUACAAGGGGUAUUAUAGUUUAAGAGAAUCUUAGUGUCUCUUACUGAAAACUUGGGGGAUCUACAUGACUAUUUUUCCAAUCUUUGGAAGUAUUUUCUGAAACCUUGAGAGUAUAGGUAUGUUUUUCUCCAUAAAUUAUUAAAAUUGUACCAUAAAAAUCUAUUUUUGAAAUCCUUUUUAAUUUUUGAUAUAAUGGAAAGAAAAUGAGCAAUUAUAAUUAUAAAAAAUUUUAACCACGACAUUGUGAAAAUUUUAAUUGCUACCAUGUGUUAUUUUUUUUUCUUUUUAACUUUCUAAUACUAGUGAUAAUGUUAUAUAAUAAGUUGAAGCAAUAACAAUAUUUUAGCCCUAGUAAUUUCAAUUUAUUCAAUAAAUAUAUAAUUUAAUCAUUUUAAAAAUAAGUCACUAACUCUAAUUGAUAAAAAAAAAUAAUAAUUGAAUUAGGAACAUACUUGAAAAUAAAAUAAAAACUCUAUUAUUAUAUAAAAGUAAAUAAAACUUAAGGCUCAAGAGAGGCUUCAAUCCCCUAUGGACUAUUAUUUUUUGUUUUAAAUCUGCUCAAAGCCCCUUAAGAGUUAAAUUAAAAAAAGGAUAAAAUAUUUGUAAUUUAUCAAUAAUAUUAUUAUUUAGUGGUUUUAGAGACUUACUUCAAAUCCUAAUAGCCAUAUAAUUUUAUUUUUAAGAUAUUUUGUUGGAGAUUACUUACUAAAAGGAUAUUUUCACAAAUACGGCCACAAUGAGCUCAACAUUUAAAAUGAAUAUUUUAUUACUUUUUUUUAAUUUAAAACAAAUAAUAGAAUUUGAGAUGUUGAGACUUUAAAUGUAUUUAAGCAAACAGUAAAAAGAAUUAAGUACCCCAAAUAUAAUUUAAAAUUUUUUAAUUAGUCCCCUUAAUUUGAGUGUCGGGGUCUGCCACUACUAAUGAUAAUCUACCUUUUUAGUCUGAAUUAUUUGUUUCAUACAACAAUAUUUUGUGUUAGUAUUUUGGCUGCGAGAUGAUACAUGUUUAUUUCUACAAAUAAUUAAACUAAUUUUAGUUUGAUAUAUAUCUCCUAGUAAAAUCAUGUUAUUUCAUUUUAUCUAUUUAUUUAUUAGGAAAUGAGGAUUACCCCCAAUUGUUUAAAGAAAUUAAGCAAAAUGCACUUCAUGUUUUAAAAUAGAUCCACAUCUCUUUGCAGUUAUAAUGUUAAUCUUAUAUUUGUACUAUUAUGCCCCUAGUUUUAAUGUUAACCAUAAAAUUUAAAUAUUUUGAGAAUAUUUUUUUAAGCAAAAUGCCUUAUAUACCAUUAAUGAUUAAAUUAAUUUAAUAACAAAUUGCAAAAUACGGUGAAAAAUCACAAGUAGGGAAAAAUAUCAUAAAUACCCCUAGUAAUUGUAUAAAGUAUUCAUCUAAAUGAAUAUAACAAAUUUAAUGUAUUUUAUCUGUUUCUUAAUAUGGCACACAACUAGUUGUUUCGUUGGAAAAGCAUAGAUUGGAUCAUACCAAACACCUUUGCUGUUUACCACCAUUGAUAUUGUUGCGUGCUUACUUGCUUAUGCUAAUUGAGCAAUCUGAAUUAAUUAUUUCUUAUCAAACAGUAAUAAAGGUGUGUGAUUUAUUAUUUUUUCCGUGGUUGCUUAUAUAUCCCUUUCAUAAUUCAUAUAAUGAUUUGUUUUCUCUCUUUAAUUUAUUGUAUAUUAUUCAUUUGCAGUGAAUUGUUGAUGAGUUUAUUGUGUUUAGUCUAAUUAUUUAUUCAGCCUCUAUUGGUAUAUGUUCUUCAAUUGUUUUCUUUUUUAUGUUUUGAGAAGUAUAUUUAGAAUCUUAGAUUUCAUACACUUAGCAUAUAUUUUGGAAAGCCAGUUUAUACAACUAUUAAGGAUAUCCAUGAAAUUUUUCCUACUAGUAAUUUUUCUCUAUAACUUACAAAAUUUAUUAUUAAAUUAAUUUACUCAUUAAGGGCAUAUAAGUUAUUUUGUUUUAAAAAAAUCAUCAAAAAAUUUAAAUUUUAUGACUAACAUUAAGACUAGGGGUAGAGUAAUAACAUAAUAUAUAAAACCAAUAUCAUUAUAACUACAUGGGGGCUUGAACUUAUUUUAAAACAAGAGGGUAUUUUGUUCAAUUUCUUCAAAUAAUAGGGGAUAACCCUCAUUUUCGCAUUUAUUUAUUUAGUUUUAAGACUUUAUCGCAAGAAAAUGAACCAUGCAUCAAACGCUCCGUUUAUUAUGCUUUUCUUGGUUUCAACUUUUUGUUUCUCCGGUUUUUGAUAACCAAUUAAUCAUGGCUCAUGCUGUGCUUUAUGUAUUUGAUUAUAAAGUACUUUUUUAUUUUGGGGCAUGCAUUCUCAAUUCUCAUGCUUUACUGAUGAUCCACAUUUUCAACAUUAAAAGUAAACAAGGUAAGGAAGAAAAGAGAAAUGAAAGAAUCAAGAUAUAUAACCAUAAUUAAUUUUAUUUUAAAGAGCAUAUGAUGGAAAAGCUAAUGUGGGUGCAUAACUAACUACUCAUAAUCAGCUCCUUAAUGCCAAUAUCUUUGACAAAAUGGGACCAAUUAUUAUUGUUUUUCAGUCAAUUAUAUAUGGGGUCUACUAGCACUUAGUCAAUCAAAUGUUCUCCAACAACAUGGAUUCAAGCUCCACAAUCCAAGAAAAAAAAUAUACAACAACUCAUUUUUCAAGUUGGAAAAUUUUGUCAAUUAACCGCUAAAGUCUCUUGGUAUCAAUGAAAAAUAUAAUGUUAAAUUCAGUACAUAAUUAGAUAGAAGAUCUAAACUCUUUUCAUAUAAAAUUUAUGGCGUAGAUUUAUAUUAAAGGGAGAAUGCAUAUUUUAUUUUUAAUUAGAUUUUUAUAUUUAAAACUUAUAUCUCUAUUAGAUUUUAAUUACUUCAAAUGUUAAUAGUUUUUUAUUCAUUUGUAUUUUACCCAUUUCUUCGAUGAUUUUAUAACAUUUUUAAAUAGUUUGGUGUCAAAAUUAAAGAGAAGAUGAAAAUAAUUAAUCCUAUGUAAUUAUCAAUUUUUUUUUUAAUUCCAAUGGCUUGCGUCAGAUUUUAAAUUAAAUUUUAAAGAAUUACGCCUUAAAUGAUGUUUUGUUCUUAUUUUAACAACUAAUUCUAUUAUCUAUUAACAGGAUAGAUAAAAUAAGAAAUUAAAAAUGUAAUAGGAGUGUAAGUGGUAAAUAUAACAUUUAUAAAAAAUGAAACAUGUUCCUUGUAUUAAAUUUCACAAUAUAAUGUUAGUUGAGAGCUAAUUUAACAAAUUAUUUCAUUGUUUAUGCUAAAGUCAGCAACACCAAGAACUUUAUGAUAGGGGCAUAUUAUAAAAAUAAAGGCACCCAAAAGCCACAUUUGUUUAAUCUUGGAGCCAAAAUGCACAUGGGAUCAUAAUAUAUAUGUUAAUUCAUUUUUAUCAUAAUUUCAAAUCCACAUGUAAACAUCUAAUCAGUUCAUCCGCAAUCAAGUUCAAAGAGUGUAAAUCGGGGAAUUUAUUAAAACAAUUGCAUUACUUGCUGCCUAUAGAGAAACCAAGAAGUAUGCUGUAGGCAGGUAAAUUAGGUGAAGCAAUCAUUAUAUUCAAAAAGAAUAAAGUAUAUUUGAAUAACCCGCCGUUUAAGACAAUUCAAUUAGGUAUAGUUAUGGUCAAAUGUUUAUGGUCAAAACCUUGGAAUUAACUCAACGGCUGAGAUCUUCAACAAAAUUUAUUUGGUGAUAUGAUGACCUUUGGAUGUGAGAUUUGUGAACCCACAUGAGGGCAUGCUUUCGACCGUUGGAGUAGAAAAGAGAAUGAAUCUCUUUCGGUUGGUAAAAUAAAGAAAAAAGAAAAGGAGGGAAGGAAGCAACUAGAAUUUCAAAUCUAUUGAAACAACAUUAAGGCAUGAAAUUCAAAGCAAAGGGCCCCAAAUCGGUGGAAUUUAGGCAACUUUUUGUCUUCUAAAUAAUAUUUACCCAGUUUUGGAUAUAUUUGGGGUGGUCUAGACCCCCCUAAUAUAGAAGCACGAUAUGAGUGAAGACUCAACUCAAGCUUUAAGAAUAAGAAUUUUAUAAUAUUGGUAGAAAAAAGAAAUAUAAGUUUGCUAGAAAGUCACCCACCGAAAAGAAAUAUGUAAUCAUUUUGCCUAAGCCUUUUUUUCUCAUGGUUCAAGGUUCUGUGAAAAUUUUCAGUUCACACUUGCAUGUAAACAUUGUUUAGCUAGGGCUUAGAUGCGUAAUACGAAUUAAUAUAUUUUCAAUACUUAAGUUGUAAUUUAGAAGUCAGCAAUUCUGCUGUUGAGUUAGCUGAUAUUUCUUUUCCUUAACCUUAGGGUAGAGUAUUUGAUUUAUCUCAUAUGAAUAUUGGAUUUUCUUUUUUUUUUGGAUGGGCUUCAUAUACUGAGCUAUGGGCUUUAAUUAAAACUUGUUUCUAUUAUAUUUAUACACUUAUUAUUUGCAUUAUAUAUAUAUAUAUAAUUAAAAGGAAGCUUGUAAUUUAGAAAUAUGCAACUACUUGAACUAUGUUAAACGAUUGACACAUACUUCUGUAUUAUCAAAUAUUUAAUAAUAUUGCAUUCAGGAAAGUAUGCUAACCUAAAUAUGAGAAGAUAAUAAAAUUGUCAGACGUAUCUGGCGAUGCUUAUUUAUUGAAUAAAAUCUCAUAUUAAAAAAAAAGUUUCAACUUUCUCUAUUCAAAUAAUUUCAGCUAGUGUAAAUGACAAAGUUUAUGAAUAAUGCAUUAAUCAUGAAACUCUUUUGUGCAUUCUCUUGUUGAGUCACGUGAAUUUUCUACCUUAACAUUCUCUUGUUGAGUCACAUGAAUUUUAUACUUUCACAUUAUGAAGAUUAAUUUCAUAUAAAUAACUUCAACUUCUUAUGUUGAAUAGGUAUCUCACAUGAUUAGAUUUACUAAAUAACUUCAGCAUCCUCCAUAAGAUACCAAUUUAAGAUUCAUAAUGAAUUCUUCUUGUGUAAAAUGUAGAGAGGGUUAGAAUAUUCAAACUUUGAAAAAAAAUAUUUGAAGAAUUAAUAGUUUAGUGCAAAAAAGUGAAACUUUGAGUCAAAAAGUUUAGCUUGUGAAUUAUUUUCCAAAUUUUCUUCACCUAAAUUUUGUGUCCAAAUCAAUAUAUAUCUCAACAACUCUUAUUAUGUAGCCAAAGUAUUAUCUUAGUUUUUCUUCCAUUUUGUCUUAAUCUCCGACUAAUAAAACCCUUUUAUUUUCACACCGCCACUACCUGAGAAAGAAGCAUUUACCCAACUAUUUGGAGUAGGCUGCUAUCUGUAGAUAUUCCAAGAAAAUUAGGUUUGAAGAAUGGUGUGGGUUUCAAUUUUUUCUUUAGUAUGUGUAGAAUUCUAAAUAUUUGGUAAUAUUGUGAAGUAGAAAGUAAAAAAUAAUUUGUACUUUAUAGGCGUUGGAAUUGAAAUAAAAAAUAAUAAUAUUACUGUUUGAAAGCAGUAUCCCCACUUACCCUUGAAAAGAAUAGUUCGCUAAUAGUAAUAGGCCACCUAUCCUGGAAGUAAUAGCACAAGCAGGGGAGAGCUAAAGGACAUGAUUGAAAUUUCACUCACUUACUUACAUGUACCAUGUUGCAUGUUGGCUCUUUGCUCCCUAAUUUUACAUAUUUCGGUUGUAGCAUAUAAACAUUUAUUGUUUCUCCAUUAUGGCCCCACCGUUGGUCUCCUCAAUUUUACAAAUUUUAUAUUUUAGUCUACUCAAAUUUAUAAUUUCACCAUUAUGGUCCCCAUCAAAUUAAAUCUGAACCAUUGAGAUUUUGAUUGGAUGGAACUGCAAAUAGCAAAAUUAUACUUUAAGCAGGUUAUAGCAUAAACUCUAUAAAUUAAAGAGGUCCAUAGUGGGGCCAUAAUAAACAAUAAUUAGAAAAGCCCGCCGUUGUUAUAUAUGUUCUUUUUUUUUUCUUUCCAUGAAUUGACUUUUCAAUACUAAAUUUCAGGGGCCAUUUCUCAGUAAAUGUAUUUUAAUGAAGUUGAAGCUGUAAAAUUUAGAAUUGGUCGUAACAACAUGACAAGAUCUUUGUUUGGAUUUACUAUCUUCAAACAGUAAACUCAAACAAAGAUUGAGUGAUGGUCAAUUUUAACACUUGAAUUUUUGAUCCAUUAAAAAAAAAGGAGAACAAAUUCUCAUAUAUGGCCCAUAAUUUUAUUGAUGGAAUGGUCAAUUCAUGAAAAAGAAAUAAAAUAAAAUAAUGAAAAUUAUUGUUUAAAUCUUUUUAGGGUAAUAAGAGUUGGAUCCCCAAAUUUUUAUGAAAUAUCUAUAAGGAUGUAGGUUGUCAAUUUGUAUUAAAUAGGUCAGGUCUCUAAUCAGAUAAUUAGUAAAUUUCUACUGAAAUAAUUGAAGUACACUCUAAUAUUGUUACAAGCAAUGCGGGACAUUCCAACAUCCAAGUUUCAGUUUAAGUCUCGAUUAACAUGACAUUCAUCUAUUAGAUGGUAGUUAUAUAAUUUUACAAACUUUAAGACCCAUCAUCAAAUAAAUAAGUGAUGCACAAUAUUUGAGAUCUAAGUUAUGACUCAAAUAUUAAAUCUUUAAUAUUAUUGUAUAAUUACAUAGUAUGAUAUUCAUAGUUAAUACCCAAUGCUGUAAAAGUGAUUUGGUAGUUUUAAUAAGAGUUAGAGACCUAUAUUUAUACGUUUUCUUUCCUUAUAUAUAUAAAAAGAAAAUUAAAAGUGUUAAUAGAAUUGCGAAAGGGACCCUUUCCUCUAAUUAAUGAAAGGGAGGAAAAAAAAGUGUGAAGGGGAUUGUCAGCAAGAUUCUCUCUUGAUUUCAUUUGUAAGAUCCUUCCUGGAACUUGAGGUGAACAAAAUACAUAAAUAAUGAUGUGAUGACACUGAUCGUGAAAGCUUGAUAAUCCAUUGUUAAUUAAACACAAGGCCACGUAUAUAUGAUUGUAUAUAUAAAAAAUAAUUAAGCGCAUUUUCACUUUGAUUGGUGGAAGUGCCCUUUUAUUUAUUUAUUUUUUUUUGUUUUAUAAACAUUUUGGCUUAGAAUUUUGAAAUCCGAUUGAAUUGGUGAUAUCAUAAGAAUUUUAUUGGAAGAAAACAUCAUUGCGAUUUGCGAGUGAGUGGUUGCCUUGAUUCUCAAGCAAAAUCUUUUAGGUCCAAUGUCUAUUUUCCACUAAUUCAAAGUGCUUAUGGCUUUCGUUUUUAUAUUAAUUUUAACCGACACCAAGUUAUUAUCUUACUCCGUUGAUGAUAUGAUAAGAUUCUCUUGCAUGCGUUCUUGUAGACCUAGCUUUUCAUUCAUUGUCGACAGAAGCACUUUUCCAAAUAUAUGCAGCACAAAAUUUUUAUGAAUAAAGCCAUCGAAAUUGUUCCAAUAACAUUAUCUCAUCUUGGCUUUAAGUGCUCUAAUUUUUACCUUGAACAUUGUCGUUUUAUUGGAGAAUUUUUGUAUUUGGAUGGUGCGGUGCACGUGCAAUACGAUGAAUAUGCUCAAAGUGGAAAUUUUAUUGUAUUUGUUUUUUUUAAAAAAAAAAAAUUAUGGAGGGAGACAAAGUGGAAUAUCUUUAAUCAUUCUUUGGCCUUAAUCACACCUUUUUUAACAUCACUUUAAUAUUAUGGAUUUAUGGUCCUCCUUUGGAGGUUACAAAGCAUGAAAGGACUAAAUUGAUAAUGGCGUGAUGAGUUUGACUUCGGGAACUUCUAUUAGUUAGUGGAGGAGUUUGAUUACAAAACAUAUGGUUAGUUAUACAGGAACGAAGUCCUUUUAAUUUUAAAUAUAGAGUUAUUGUUCUUUCAUUAUUAUGGUAAGUGUAGCGAAAUAAGAAAAUUAUUAUAUAAAUUAUAUUAAAAGGUAACGUUUAACUGCAUUAAUUUUUUAAAAAUAACAGUAUACUAUAAUUAUGUCAUUGUAAUUAGUCUAAUGAAGAAGUUACACUGAUGUCACAUGGGUAAAAUUGUAUUUUCAUCAAAUGAAACCCUUAUUUGUAGUUAAGUUUUAGGCUCCGUUUGGUAUAACUUUUCAAGUGGAGCUUAUUUAAACAAAGCUUUAGUUAGUAGAGCUUUUACAAGUAAAGCUUUUACGUAAAAAAAAAAAUUGGUUAUUUGUUUGUCAAUGAGAGCUUUUAUUAAAAAUUAUAAAAUUACUUUAAUAGGUAUUUUUUUUUAAAGUUAUGUUAUGAAAAGAAUAAAAUAAGAUUGUCAAAUAAGUAGAUGAUAUUUUAUAUAUUUUAACAUUAAAAAAAACUUUUCAACAUCUAUUUUCAAAAACUCAAAAUUUGAGCUCUUAUUAGAAGAAGCAAAAUAUCUUAUUUUUCAAAAGCUCUAUUAAAAAGCAAUCGAACAAGAAUAAAUUUUUUAUAAGAGCUUAUACCUAUUAGAUAAGAUGUACCAAAUAGACAUUUAGGGUUAUUAUCCUUUCACUACGCCAAGUGUUAUACAAAUAACAAAUUACUAUGCGGAUUACUGAAAGGUAAUACGUCACUACGUUAACUUUUUAAAACUACUUGUUUACUAACAAUUGGUCAUGCAACAAAUCAAUUACAAGGGUAAUAUUGUCAUUUAGUUAGUAUUGUUAAUUGAAUAGGCAAUGAUCUGUUGUUUAUCACCAAAAGCAUGGCAAAAUCGUAAAUUCAUAUGACAUUGAUUUAUAUCAUUUUUUCUUUAUUUUAGGAGUUAUUCAUUAAAGGAAAAAUUAGUCUUUUAUAAGUUAACUAGCGGAAGUGUAGAAACUAUUGUUCUUAAAAAGUUAAUGUAGCCAAGUAUUACAUUUCAAUCAUUCAUGUAGUGAAUUGUUAUUUUACAAUACUUAGCAUAGUAAAAGAUAAUAACCCUUAAUCUAAAAUCUGCAAUGUAAAUAUAAAAAUCAAACAUUUAAACUUGUAAGUUUCAUAUUUUAGAUAGCAAAUUUUACACUUUAGAUUAUUAGAUAAGCGUACCAAUUUGGCUAAAUCACUUGUUUUUUUCACCCUUCCUCUUCAUAGUAUCUUUUUUAACUCGUUGAAGCAAAGUGUGUCGAUUUUGGGGUGCAAUGAAGCUAUGAUGGAAGGCAAAUGGGGGUUAAAGAAUUGGGAAAUCAUGUCGUCCAUAGUGAACAAAGCACCAUUAUAUCCGCUUACGAGAGAUGAGAUGUGGAGAAUAUGGUGUUCCAAAUUGAGACGGUGCGGGAAGACUUUUGAAACCCAUCAGCAGGAGCAGAUGUUUUAUGAAAAACAUGAGGGCCCCCAUGAGACUUUAUUGCCAUGCGUUGGUUGGUACAGACAAACAAAGCAUGGCCAACAACAAAAUCAUGCUCUUGUCACCACAAGGAGAAAUAAGAUAUUGGAGAAGCUAUGACUUGAGGAGGAUACAAACAACAUGAGAAAUCAACACAAAAGUCAUUUUGCAAUAUUGUUUGUUCACCACCCCCUCAACCUUUUGUCCCCUCAGGAAUCCCAUGAGCCGAAUUAUGACAUUAGCCAUCAGCAUUCAGCCAUGCGGCAACGGCAAAAACGGGUAAAAUUUUGAUGAGCCAAUUUGCACAAGUGGAGUCUGUUUCUGCCCGCUGGUCUUGUGCCCUCUGAAAAAGCCCAUCUAUUUUUAGCGGGUGUGCAGCCUUUUGCUCUAUAGCUAGUGCAUCUUCUCACUCAGUAUGCGCGUCAAUUUAAAAUUUAAAAACCAUUAAUCUAAGUGAUUAUUCCGCCAUUAGACGUAUUGUUGUACAUCCCCUCUUGUGAGAGGGCAAGGACAUACAGGGAAAUUAGAGAGUUGAAGAAGUGGAUGAUAUUUUUGAGUCCAGAAGCUGACCACAGAUACAAAACAAUACUUAUAUUUUUUGAAGUUUUGACCUCCAUAAAUAGCUGUCGUUUGAGAUUCUUCAUCGACACCGUUUUGUAGAGCAAACACUAAACUACUACAAACAUAUAUAUGUGUCUGUGUGUGUGUAUUAAAUUUCCCUUGUUAAUUUUAAUGUAAGCAACCAGCAGUCACCAGCCAGGCUGCCUGACAGGGGCCACAUAGACCAGCAUCUGAUAGUUGUGAACUAAAUCAUCACUGAUUGUUUAGCAUUGAAAUAGCAAGCUUUUCUUACUGCGUCUUGCCUUCUUCAUCUACUAGCAUGUUCGAUUUGAAAAACAUGAAACGAGAGGAGAGGAGAAGAAAGGAAAGGAGGGAGGAGGAAAGAAGAAAAGAAAAAUAAAAAUAAAGAUGAUUCCGUAUCGACUCAAAUAAAUAAAAUUGAGAUUGAUAUUCUUUUUUUCUUAAAUUUUCUUCGCUCCUCUCUCCUUUCUAUUUCCCUCCUCUUCCCUCGUUUCUUCCAACCAAACAUCCAUUUCAGUAUUUACUAAUAUUUCAAAGAUACGAAGUAGGUUCGAAUACAAACCCCACUCUGCUAAAUAAUAAGAAGAAUAAUAGUAAAGAAAAUCAUAUUAUGUUUAGCAAACUGGACUUUCUUCAUGAGGUUACCAUGAUGGUUAUCACCAAAUGGAAACAACUUUAUUUUUCGCAUUGGACAAGGCCUUCACUAAAUAACUUGUUACAUGGAAUAUAUAAAUAAAAAUAAUAACAAAUAAUAUUAACAAAAUUUCCAAGAUGAAGAGAAAAGCAGCCAGCAGGGGAUGAAAAUUCUGCAACAAUAGCAAGAAACUCUGCAAGUCGUGGAAGAUAGUAUUCACACCAAUCAGAUUAGACUGUCCUCCAACUUGAACAGCUUUAAUAAUGUCCCAGUCCGUUUCCUCUCUCUUUUCAGCUUUUCUGUUUCUUCUGAUUAAGGGCAGCCUCUUCAUCUACACAAGGAAUAAACAAAUACAAAAUCAAACUGUUAGUUAGAUAACACUCUCCUGAGCAUAUUUGAAAGAGCACUGUAUUAUUGAUAUAUCCGCCCAUAAGUUUGAUGCUCCUACCCCUUGUUAUGAUGCUGAUUGAGGCAUAAGCAACUGUAUGAGUUUGAUAAGCAAGAUAAGUCUCAACCUAGGUUGGCUUAAAAAUAUUCUAGAGAAUAUAAAACACCAUGUGUGCACACAGCAAGAGAGAAUACAAGCAAGAGAAACCAGAGUUGGCCCAAGGAAACAUUGACAUCAAUUUUAAAUUUAUUGAAGGAUGUUGGAAUACAGCAUUCAGUAUACAUUCAGAAAAUGUGAUAAAAUGCCAAUUAAAAACAAUACUAAUUUACAAAUAAGUUUAAUAGUCCUUGAAAUAAAUUGCCAACAAACCAGUAGGGGAACAUGUUGAAGAUUUUUCUAUUUAUUUGUGCUUCAGUCAUGCGAGAAUAAUUCAAAUAACAAACGAUUGAACAAAAAUUAGAUCAAAACCCAAGCAAAACUAACAAACUGGGUUUAGCAACUUCAUUAUACCUUUUUGAAUCAAUGUGAAGACAUGUCUUUAGCUCUUCAACGGUCAAGAUAUCCUCAUUAUCACAUUUUAAUAAAUUGCAACCAGCAAUAAAUUUUGCAGGCUCAGCCGAGCCUGGAAAAAGUGAUAAAUCCUUAAACUUCUCCUUAAGACGUUCCAUCAAAAUGAACCCUGAAUGGGAUCCAAAAAGAAACCGACAGUCAGACAAGUGUGAAGUACAAAAAUCAACUUCAAACAUCCAUAAUCGGUGACUUGUUUUGUCUCUGAAUCAUAAAUUCCCGUGGGGUAGUAGACAUAUCAGACCUUCACCUGCACUAGUUUCAAUUAAUGCGGUACUCUUAUUAUUAACACAAGACAUGCAACAUUACUCAUCUUAACCACCCCAAGCCAAAAUAUCGAAUACAACACACAUUUCAUCAAAAUCCUCUAAACAUGAAAUUUAGACGUAUGAUGAAAGGGGUAAAAGGAAACAAAAACAAUAUGUAGCUACAACUUGGUUAUAUAAUUCAUUAAAGAAUUUGUUAUUCGAAAUAACGGUUAUAAGAAAUUUUAGAGAAUGGUAAAGCAAGCUCAAACAUUCAUCUAACAACUCUAUCAACUCUAAGUAAUAACUAUGUUAAAAAGAGAUGUCACUCAACAUUUCAUUAAUCUCCAAGAGUAAACAAUUAACACCGAAGGAUGAAUAUGGAUAUAAAUACCUAGGGCUCGAAGCGCCUUCAAAUCAAAUUUAUUGGCAAGUUCUUCAUGGCCAAUUACUUUAGCACGUUGUAAAACGAGCAGCUUUAAGCUAAUAAGCAUGUCCUGCUCGAAUGGGGUCAAAAAUUUAUUUUACAAGAAGAAGAAGAAGACGAUAACGAGUGGAAGGACAAGAGAUCUUACAAGCUCGGAUUCGGAGAGGGAACAGAGCCAGCUGACAUCUUCGACCCUAUUCUUACUCAAUAUUUCAUUCAUCUCCUUCAAUUCCAUGACUUCACCUCUCUCUCUCUCUCUCUCUCUCUCUCUCUCUCUCUUCUUUCACUCUACGCGGCGGCCGCAGCUCAGUCCCACUCCCUUAUGCGCACGGUCUGUAAAUUUGAAAAUUAGGAUUAGGGAAAUGGGUAUUGGGUUUCAAGUUUUCAAUUUAUAUUUUAAAAUAAAAUAAAUUAAAAUUGAAAAAAAAAAAUUGCGGAUGUAUUUAAAAUUCUGGUGGGUGUGAAUAAAAAUAAAUUUGAUACGGUCAGAUAUAUUUUGACAUUUACGAUCACCUAGGGAACUGAUUUUUUAUUUUCUUUUGUAAAAAAUAUAAAUUAAAUUUAAAUCUAUGCUUUUUUGGGGUUAAAUUAAACUAUUAAAAAAAUUGUUUGAAGCAAACCAAUUUUUGAACGUGAAGGAGUAAAUCUCUCAUAAAUCACUAAGCAUGAUAUAAAUUAAAUAUUUUUAUAUCAUUAACGGUAAAAUUUUGGACUCAAAUAUUCAAGAAUCCAAUAUGAUGGCUUAGUAAAUAUUUGUUCUUUCAAAAUUCUGUUCUUAGCAACCAAUCCAUUUGCUCAGUCCAGUAGCCACAAAGAUAUCCAAAAUAUUUCUCAAAAAAGCUCAAAGAAUAUCUUUUCCUCAUGUUCUUUAUCUAUUACAUCAUCUUGGGCUUUAUGAGUUCAGGCAUCAAAACCAUAUCUCGUUGCAAUGGCAAAGAACUUUAACCUAAGAUUUUUAAUUCACAUCAAACCAUAAAACACUUAUAAGAUUUUCAGAUUCAGCUUUGAUAAGUUCUAAAAUAGCCUUUGUAGGUCUGCAACUUCAUAUCUAAAUCAAAUUAAUAUAAAAAUAAAAGAGUCGUGCUAAAUAUCUAGAAUGCUGAGAGAAACGGCAACUUGUGUUGUCGCUCGUCUCUCUCUCUCUCAAUGUUGUAGACAUUUUUUAUUGUUAAAAAAAAUUAAAAAAAGUGAAAAUGACAAAAAGUUGAAUAUGUUCACGUGUAUCAUUCUCUAUGUCUUGACUUUAUCCUUACUCUCUUCAUAUCAUCGCUCCCUAUCACACUUCCUCGAAUAUGUUCACGUGUAUCACUCUCUAUGUCUCGACUUUAUCCCUACACUCUUCAGAUCAUUGCUCCCUUUCACACUUCCUUACUCUCUCCGGUCUCUCCCUCCGGCUCCCCAUCACAUUUCCUCACUCUCUAUGGCUCCCCAUCACGCUUCUUCACUCUCUCUGGCCUUUCCCUCCGACUCCCCAUCACGUUUCCUCACUCUCUCCAACUCCUUAUCAUGCUUCCUCACUCUCUUUGGCUACCAAACACGGAGCACCACCCGUUUUAGAUAGCAAAUCCCAGCCCUGGCCGUUUAUGGUCAAUAAUUAAAGAAAAUGAAAAUUUUUUAUUUUCUAUGCAUUCUUAGAUUAAUUUUAUAAAAUUUGUUGGUAAUUAUUUCCACUUUUUUUUAACAAUAAAAAAAUAACUACAACGCUGAGAGAGGUGAAACGAUAGUGCAAGUUAUCGUUUCUCUCAACCUCCUCUCAGCGUUCUAGAUAAGGAGCAUUUUCCAAAAUUAAAAAGGAAUUCACCAAAUAAAACAAAAACUAAUCAAACCCUGAAAUCACUAAGCUUAAUUUGAUAGUGGAUGUGGCAGAAGGCUUCACGAACGGCGGUGGGGUUUCUUCAUAGAUGGCAUUUAUUGUGAUACCUUGCCCUCCCUUGCUACCAUCGAUGCUUUAGCUCCAUGACUCACAGAUGCUAUCAUGAUGUGGACAUGGAGAAGAUGAAGCUUGGAAGACGAUGAAAGAAGGAGAAAAAGAGGAAAAAAAGGAAAAAAGGGAAAGGACCUUGGAGAAGAUGAAGAAAGAAUAUGACACGCUUAUCCUGCAACACAAGCAAAUUAAUUCAAUAAAACACUCUUCAAGCGAAUGCCAGCUUCUAAUAUGAAAAGUUAAGAGCGGAACAAAGGUAAAAAGAAAAGAAAUUAUAGAGAGAAAAGAGAACUGAGUAUUUUUCAUUGCCUUUAUUUUGUAGACCUUACAAUUCUUCUAUGCUUCACCUCCAGCAACCUCUAACAGAAGGUGGUUACAAAAAUAUCAAUUGUCAAGCCAAAAUAACAAAAACGAAUAAAAGAUUUUAUAAAGGAAUCCACAACAUCCUGCUUCUCAAACACCAUAAUCCUUCAGCCAGCUGGGUGGAUUUCUCACUCGUGAUGGGCCUAUAACAGGUUUUGUGUCGGGCUUAGCUAUAUCUUCCUCCUGGUGUGAUAUAGCCCGUUCUUCAAUAGGUUCCACAAGAUAUGGAUUGGGUCACUCUAAAGAAAUUGGUAUUGUUGUAUCAUAAUAAAAGAAAAGAAGAAAAAAAUAGAAAAAGAAAAAAUGUAAAUAAAUAAAAUAAAUUUAUUUUUUCAAUUCUAACCUUGUGUCCAAGCACGCGUCACUCAGGUGGAUUAACCCUUAAUUUUAUACUCGGUUAAAGGCCAAGUGGCUAGGGCCGUUGCCCUCCAAAUUAGAGGGCAACAACUCAAACCCCCACAAAUAUAAUGUGAGGGUAAUUCAUUCCUUAAUUAUAAUGUAUAAUUGAAUGAAUGUAUUCUUCUCUCUUACCAAGUCUGAGUGGAGCAGACAUUCCUCGAAUAUUAGUGAUGGUUAAAAAUCUGAACAGAGUUCUAUUAGCAUUUAUGUAAGUUAGUUAUAGUAAUAGUCUGAUUUAUAAAUAUCAAUUAUAAUCUCAUAUAAUAUGAGUUGUAGUUUGUGUAAUAGUCUCACAUAAACAUCAGUUAUUUUCCCGGAGAGAAAAUUUGUACAUCGAGAUUUUCAUCUGCGAACGUGCUUGGGAAAUAUGAAAUUGACUGGAAAUUAAGGCUACUUAGUCAAGAAGAAGAAAAUUUUGUUCCAAGUCUGAUGCCGUUUUGCUUGGUUCUUAACUUACGGUCAAUUGAAAACCAUUGACACAUGACUUAGCACAUUCAAUUGGUUUACAAUAUAAAGGCACUAUUGGUCUUAGCAGCACCUUGCAAAAGCAGAAGCUGAAACCAGACUCUUUAAACUGUAGCAUUGUAUUGUGAGGGGAAAUUGUAAGUGCUUCUGCGCUGCUUUUAGAAAUCAAACAAACCAUGAACAUAGCUGUAAUCCAUCAUGCCCUAUUGGGCUUGUUUGUAGCUUUCAUUGUUAGCUCCUGUUAUGAUGGUCAUUUCAAAGAUAACUUGGGUGAGCAAUCAGUGUCAAUUUUAUUAUUAUUUUUUAAAUGCAUUUAUUGAAUCAUUUUACUAACUUUAUUUUUUCCUGAAUAUGCAGUUGAAUUGUAUGGAAGAGUGACGAGAAGCAUUUGUAAUGGCUUCAUCAUUAUAACAAUCAAAUUCCUUCAUUUCUUUGUCGCCAAAUCUUUGCAGAUGAGACUUACAUCAAUGUUGCAGGCUGUGUCUUCUAUGCCAUCAUCCUUACUACUAUUUUGGGUACCAUGAAUAAUUCAACGAAUGUCAUCUAUCUCUGCUGAUUUCAUUAAUCUUAUUUUGAUUGAAAGUGCAUUAAGGCCCUAAUUAUUGUUAAAUAAAUAAAACACUGGGUUGUAAGUAGGCCUUGAUGUGCAUCUGUUUACUAAAAGUCAGAAUCAACAAAUGUCUUCUUGUUCAGAUUUAUAGAACCACUUCAGAAUUAUUCUGAGAUUUUAUAAAUGUUUUCAUUUUUCGGGUAUAAUUUUAUGAACUGUGCUAUAAAAGACAGCCAAAUUAGAUUAAUUUAUCUGUAACCAUUAUCUCAUGCAGACAACAUGCGAGCAAUGGAGCUUCAUAAGAGCCACUUUCCGACGACAAUUAGGCUAGUUACUGUGGAGGGAACACGUGAUAACUGAAGUAGAAUUACUCUCAGUUUAAUGCAUUAUCAGGGGCAAAUUCAAUAACAUGAAUAAAUUGAAACUCGCAUAAAAACUGCUACAAACACCCAAAGGAUUGGCAUAACUCGUAUGCGCCAUAGGAGUUUUUAAUGAUUCCGAAAUGCCAAUCAUCUUGAGUUGCCCCUUCAACAAAGUUUUUGACAUUGUCUUCAGUUUCAUCAAAAGAUAUCUCUUCUCUGUGUCUGUUCAAUUAUAGAUUUGAGUUGGACUAUUAGCACCCUUUUCUUUAUUUACCCUAUUCAAUAUGUAUAAAAAUUGUAAAGUUUCUUAUGGAACCCCUUUAGUUCUAAAACUAACCCUGGUUUCUUUGAUAAACCCCUAAAGGAAACCCUUAACGUGCUCCCGUCUCUUUUCAACUUGAUUUGCUCUCACUCUACGAAUUCCCCUUCUCUAUGAUGAUAGGAUAAAUUGAACCUUGCAGAUCAACUUCAUGCUUUAUAUAAGAUGUGCAGGAAAAGAAUUAACUUGAAAAAGGUUGAAUAUACGUGGAAGGCUUUGCAUAAACUAAAAGAUAAACUAAAUGCAAGGCUGUGCAUAAACCAAAAGAUAAACUAAAUGCAACGGCAGUUGAGAGCAUAUAAAACAACAAAACAAGGGUGGCGACAUCUUUUCCAUGUUUAAUAAGCUUUGAGCACAUGGCUGUCAAAUCAAAAAGUGGAGAUUAAUCUUGAAAGGAAAAUUAUAAUACAAAGAUUUUUGGACUGUUACUGCCAAAAAAACAAAAAGAAAUGAGCAAAGUAUAUCCAGAAGCAAGUUUCGUAAUCCCAGCGAGCGGCAAAUACUUAUUGAAAGACUAGUAUUUAAGGGUUCAAGCGAUUUAAGGUUUGGUGAAAAUCUUACAUGUAUGAGUGUAUCGAGUUUUUGGCAAAAGAAAAUUAUUUUUGUUUAAUGUGUGGAAUUAGUUAUAUUUUUGUCAUUUGAUGCAAUUUUAUUGAAGGGCAAAAUCAUAAACCACAUAGAGGGGUUUCAUUAAUUAGGUAGUUAAAAGGGUGCCAAUAUUCCAACUCUAACUCUAAGAUUUUUUUUUUUUUUUUUUUUUUUUUUAACAUAGAGGGGUUUUAUUAAUUUUAUUGAAGGGCAAAAUCAUAAAACACAUAGAGGGAUUUUAUUAAUUAGGUAGUUAAAAGGGUGCCAAUAGUCCAACCCUUAAGAGGUUUUUUCAACAUGUAACCAGAACGAAAUUUACGCAGCAAAUUCAUUAUUAACAAAUCGCUCUCUGAGGUUGACUCCUUGCUCUCCAAGGUUCCAGUCAACAAUUUGUUGUCGGGGUAUCAUCUAUUUUAAUGCUUUGCUUGUCUACUAUAUUACACUUUUAUAAACGAAAUAAUUCCAUCUAAGGCUAUUUUUAAUUGGGCCAAAUCAUAAUAUUGACUUGAUCAAAGAAGCUUCCCCCCAUCAAUACAAAAACUUAGAAUUUUGAUACAUGACUUUGUCAUAUUCACUCGGUUUCCAAGCUUGUAUAUUGGAGAAACACUAUAAGCUGAAAACAGGACAGUUUAACAUCUUGGGGGAAUUCAAACAAAUAGUUUGCUAUUAAAACAGAGUGAGAAAAGAAGAGAGCAUCCAGAAAGUCAUAAUGGCAUUAUUCAAAGUCAAGCAACAUCUACUUCAAGGCCAUGAUUUUCCAAGUUUUAUUUCAUCUGCUUGUAAAUGUUAUUGUUUCUUCACAAUAUCAUGGCCCGCACAAGUAUUUGGAGGAAGGUAGUAGGGAUCAUGAUUUUUUCCUGAUCUGAUCAUGUCCUGAGUAAAUAACGCAAUUGCUGAUUGGUAGUUAAUAAAUAAAAGAAGUCGAAUCUUACCCAUACACUACCAUUAAAAGAAACAUAACACAAAAUCUUGAAAAAUUCAGAAAAGAUCAGAUCAGGAGAGGAUGAUGGCAGUAGAGGCCAUUAUAGUUUGUUUAUCACUUUGAUAACCAAAUUGAUCCAUUACUUUGCUUCAAAAGCCUUACAGUUCAGAUUUCUCUUACCAAUGCUGCAGCAUGUGUCUUCUAUUCCUUCAAUGCUCUUUUGGGUAGCAUUUAAUCGAUCAGUUUCGUCGUCUGUCUCAUGAUUCUUAAUGUGUAAUAUUAUUUCAAUACCACGUGUUAUGUGUACAUUAUCUCAAAGAAAGCAAACACUGAGUUGUAUAUUUGUAAUCACCACCCUCGGUCUGCAUAUGUCAAGUCGUCUACUUAUAAUAUACAUUUGUAAUCAAGUCGCUCUGUAUAUUUGUAAUUACUGAAAGACAAAGCGUUGGCUCCAGUGAUCCUUUUAUUUUAUACUUCUUUCUCCAUUGAUUUCUUCCACGGACUUGAGUUGAAGGAUUGGCUUUCUAUUUUCCUGCUAAAUAAUCUCAACCACCUAAGUCGGAUCGAACCUUUACGUUGUCGCUAAUAAGAGAUUUUCUAGUCUUACCUAAUGAGAGAUACUAAAGAGAAAUGAGACAACCACCUUUGACAGAUGAAAGUAUCAAAGAAUAUUGAAGCCUAACAAGAAGUUCUUGGGAAAAAAAUUAAAAAAAAAGAUUUGAAGAGAAUCAGAACAAAGUUAUGUUUCCAAUGAUUUAAUUAGGCUAUUUGUUACAGAUCUUUGUAUUGAAUUUUUACUUUGAUGCCACUAUUCCUUGGCAGAACGAAUUCUUGCAUCUACUCGGGCAGAAAAGCCAGUCUGAGUCAUCUUCUGUGAGUUGUGUUGUUCCCUUAGCCACAUUUGAUUUGCUCUCACAUCUUUCUUGCAAUAUUUCAUUUCUUGAACGACAUGAUCAUCCAUCGGAUACAACAUUCGUUGAAUGGCAAUGAGCAAGAAGUAAGACAGAAGAGAAACAACUGCCACAAGCAAUGUGAUAAGCCAGAGAAUUGGUACAGCUCCCUGAAAUGCCGUGUUGGAGUAGAAAGAAGGGAGUGCGCCAUAAGCAAGCAGGAAAAUGUACCAAAAGAAAAUGCUAUCCCAGAUGACUAGACGCUCAGUCCAAGUGAAGUGGCUGAUGACAAGGGCAAUUUGGUAAUUGACAGUCCAGAUUAUGCAAGCGUAAGUAAUGGCGCCGAGAUGUACAACGUCUGCAACUUCUUCUUCCUUGUGGAAUGCAGCUGGGUAAGGUACGUAUGAAUAUGUUGGACAGGAAGAUGACUAGAGAAGCAACAGUGUCGUUUAAUAUCCAACCGGUUCCAGCUAACGUAUACAUUCUUCUGCCCUUGUCGAUAAAGGGCAGGAAACUGUUUCAUUACAGAAGAGAUAAAAAUUUGUUGAGAAAUCAGUGUUUAUUAAUUCAAUGCUUGCACUGCUCUAUACUGUAAUUUUGUGCUUAUGCAUUACAUUACGAAAGUUGGUGUAUGCUUGUGUGGCAGGCUGCAUCUGUGUUCCAAUUUUCUUUACCUGGAGGCACACAUCUGAUGAAACAUCUUGCUUGAAGACUUCCAAGGCAAUAACUGGUAAGGAUGUUAACAAUACAUUGAACAUUACCAUGUACCAAUCAUCAUAUAAAACCUCCCCAGUGAAACUCGUGUAUAAUUUGUAGUAGAACAGUGUGAGGUCAAACGUAAUGUUCUUGUAUACAAAGUUGAGAACCUACAUUGAGGCGGAAAAAUAUUAAUCCUUGAAGUAGAGCUUCAAACUGGCCUAUAUAGGUAAUAUUAAUUUGCAUAGUAAACGUAUACCAUCUUGGAGAUUCUCUUGUAACACCAAUGGCCAUGAACUAUGAGUAAUCUCUCGUUAAGUAUUGGAAUUGCGGUAAUUAGAAGUCACUAGCCAUGACUGCCGGCAAAAUCAAAUUUUAGCAAAUGCUGAAAAGAGCUUCUCUGCACUAUCGCAAUCAAAUCACCCAAACAACAUAAUUUUAUAUAUUGGCCAAUAUGUUUGGAAAAUCUCUUAUUAUUACUAAUUUUAUCACCAGCAACUGAAUACUCUUGAAUUGGACCUAGAACUUGGGGAUUGUCAUUAUCCACUACUUGCAACCUCAAUUGUGUGGAUUCAGAAAAAUCCGCAAGCAUAACUAACAAAUGAAAACUCUCUCUUUUCUUUCAAAGCACUUGAAAUGCUUUUGAUGCUGAUUUUAUAUAUAUCUCUCUCUCUUUUCUUUUAAUUAGUGUUGUUUUGUCAGCAGCUUGAAGCACUCACUAAGCUUGUACAAUUUAAGAAAACAAACUGAAAAGGAAGAAAAAGGGAAACCCAACAAGUGAUUAUAGGUCAAUCUAUGAGGUUACCUGCAUUUCCUCCAUGCCACUGAGUCCUGCAGGCCUUCCAUUAGCCGCACCGCAAUUCAUGCAACAUUAAUAAUUCCCAUCAACACCCUUACUCAUUUUAUGUAAAACCAGAUAAUGCGCAAGUCACAUGGAAACUGCAUGCCAAUCCAUUUAAUUCCAAGUUCGAAUUAUUUCCUUAUCUGAGCUCGUCUAAGCUUGUCAUAUAUCUUUAACUAAAUAUUAUCCGAACUCAAAGUUUAACUAAUGGGGUUUUCUUCUUCUUCUUCUUCGUCUUCUUUUUUUUUCCCCCUUGUCGUUAAGACAUUUAAGUGCUUCAAGUUGAUUUUAUCAAUCACUUGAAGUGAACUGUUCUUGAAUUAGUAAGAAUUCAAACUCCACAUUGUGCCCUUGUGUCUCUAGUUUCGAGAAUUGAAAAUCAAAACGAAACGUUUAAGUAGGGCUAAUCCCCAAAGAAAAUAUUAUUACGUUGUCAAUCUUGCUUUGUUCUUGAUGAUUUAUGCAGUGUGGGUAUCAUCAAAAUUAAUGUAUCUUCAUGGAAUAUGAUGAUCGUACUGGUGGCAAAAUGGGUAACUUUGGAUCGUGGAUUACAAAUAAAAAUAUAGAAAGUAAUGAUAAAGAUCACGUUAUUAGUUGGAACACUACCACACGUUGCAAUCCGAUUAUUCACAGCUUUGUUGCUGUGCGGAUGAAGUUAAUAAGAUAACUGUCAGUACGGAUUACGGAGAGUCCAUUGAAGCGAGUAAAUCAAAGAGAUCAACACAGUGGUCGUUUUCAAUUUACGAAUCUAACCAACUUUGGUUCAUUUUUGGCCGCUUCAGUAAGUUGUCAUAGACUGAUACAUUGAGUUUGCCGAAUACAGAAAUACAAACAAACUUCGGAAAUACACAUGAUAUAGGCUUGCAUGGCCUUGCCAAAUUUCUAAACGACUAAUAUUUUCUAAAUGAAUAAUAAAAUAUUGAUAAGGAGUCAAUCAAUUGGAAUAUACAGAAAUGGCGAUAUAAGGCACCACCCCUCACAAUGAGCAUAUAUUUUUAUAUGUUCAUAGUAGGGCCGACUCGUAUAACGGGAAUUAUUAUAAUCAUACUUUACGUUCAUUGUGUACAGCCGGAGAAAUUGCCUGCAUAAUGGCGUCUGAUUUUUUUUAGGGAAAUACUUAUACAGCCAGCUUUAUUUUAAAACCUUAUUAAAAUCUCUCGUUGCAGGGACUUGACCUGGGAGGAAGAACACUAGAUUUGUCGACUUCAUAUGAAACUGCCUUAGCAUGAAUGAUUUCACUUACCAACUCAAGGCUUAAGAAAUCUACAAUGAGUAAUCAGUAGACUUUGACAUUAAGAUGUGAUUGAUUAAAGAUCUGAAGAUGCAAUUACGUAUAUGCAUUUCUAAACAGUAGUGAUUAUAUAACUUAAAGCCCUGAAAAUUAAAAGAAAGACAUUUUAAUUUGCUUAUGGAUAAUGACCGUAAACUGCAUAUUAUGUACUUGCUUAGAUCAACAUUUGGCACUGAAGGACACACAAAGCUUUGAUUUAGAGACAAGACUUCAUUCAAACCUUUCAUUUUCUGCGACAAGUGGGCAAAUGAAGUUCUACCUUCCCACCAUUUGAUAAAACAAUGGUGGAAGAUGCUGUUUCCAGAGAUCACCACGAGCUGGUUCCAUAUUCGCACCAUCACCAAAUUCAGAGCAAGCAGUCAUGGGUCCAUCAUAACGAAUAGCCAAGCUCUUAUUGACUACUGAUGAUGUCGAGUCAGUGACCAACCAUGAACUAGAAAGCUUGAGGUAUCGGUCGUAAAGUGCCAAUGCAAUGGCAGGACUUCUUCCAAUGCUCCUGCAAAUGAACCCAUAAUUAUUUUCAACGCAAUGAUAAUACAGUUCAGAAUUCAACUGUGACAGAAAAGUUAGAUACCUGUCUCUCUGAUUUAUAACUUUUUUCCACCAUAGGAAAGCCUCAAGAAUAUAUUUUUCCAAUUUCCUAGCAUCAAUCAAAAGCAUGCCUAAGUCUGGCAUACAAGAAUUCACUGCAUAAGGCUUCCCAGAAACCCAACGCUGUGAUGCUGAUCUCUGGAUAGCAUCCAGCACAUCCGGAUUAACAUAGCUGUUUAAUCUUUCAGAGCAGUCGUCAGCAGCUGCAAUAGCAUAAUUGCUCAAGUCAAUGCCAAUUAAUUCUUCAACUCUCCCCUGCAGCAGCAGUAAAAUCCAUUAAAGGUCUGAUUGACAUCAACUCGGUAAACAGAGACAACAACAAAAGUAAGAUGGUAAUAAAAGAGAUAUCAAGUGCUAACAAGAGAAUUCCCAAGUGCUAACAAGAAAUAUCAAGUUAAGAGAAACUAAGAAAGGCUGAGGCAUCUGGCGCAGCAGCAAGUUUGUAUCUAACUUUGUGUUGUUUCAUGAGAGAGAGGGAGUCUAAAAGAUUAAUAAAAGAUUUCAUAAAAAUUUUGCAGCAACUCUAUUUGUGUCGUGGUUGGAUGCAAAAAGGAAAAAAAAAAUCAUUGCUAUUGUCUCAAACCAUAUCCAGGAGAAAAUGAUAAACUAUGAACAUAGUCAUGCCCUUAAACUAGAGGGCAAAGGAAACUAACCUUCACAAUUACACUGGGUGACAUGUAAAUGAAUUUACUCAAUGACUGGUGAACGCUCGCUAUAACAAAAGGUACUAUUUCCUCAAAAUUCUGAACAGAAUAUUUUACUCCAGUGCUAGCAGUCCUAAUCACUUUUUUUACUUCCUCCUGCCUAUAGUUAUGCAAUAUCAGAACUAAGAGAUGGGCUUUGCAAGUGAAAAUAUUUGAAAAAGCAAUGGCUUACCCGUGAAAUUCAAGGUUUGAAUGCGGAAAUAAUACUUUCAGCUUAUAAAAGGAUACCAUGUCUUCGCUCCCUUUUGGGACAAAAAGGUGGAAGUGAAGUAGAUCUGGAUAUCUGGAUAUUGAAGAAGAAAUGAGAAUGAGUAACAUCAACAUUGGUUUCGGUCAUAAAUAAACUGCAGAAAUAUGUUUUCAUAUGUGUACCCACCAAGUGAAAUUAUAUUUCAAAAGAUGUUACUGUUAAGAGAUUUUGAAAUUUUAAAAAUUUCAGUCCACCGAAGAGAAGAUUACAUGAAAGCCAAAUUCACGACUUGGUAUGUAAAAUGGACAACCAGACAUAUAUUUGUCAGCCAAACCUUGAGCCUGAUAGAGUUGAGUUGACAAGAACUGCAAGCAACCGAAGGUCCAGACACUGCAUCCAUGACACAAUGUGCACCAUUCCAUCAUCUUGGCUAAUGGAGGAGAUGGAACCAGAAUUUCGAUCACCAGAAUCUCUCGUCUUGCUCAACUAUCAAACGGAACGGCAAGUUAGCAUUUUCUUCUCUCGAAAGGAUUCUUCUGCUUCUUUACAUUCCAGUGUUAUAACCAUAGCUAGAUCAAACUAGCCAUGUGGAAAGUCAAAUUAACAACAAUAAACUUUUGUUAAAGUGAUUAAUUAUAGAAUGUUAUUAAUAAAUUUCUGUUGUCGAAACAUUACUGGUUAUAUUAACUAUAAAAUUUAUCUGGAAAGUUGUUAACAUUAAACACCACAUGAUUAAUUAAGUGACAAUAAUGAUAACUUUUUACCGAAGUAACCCAAUAACCAACUAGACAAGAGUUAAAAAACUCAAUUAUCAUCACAGAGGUAAUAACGUCCCGUUUCCGGAUUGUCAUGAUUUUUAAAGUAAGAACCCAUUUAUAUAUUUGAAUCCAGUAGUUCCUGACCUCCAACGAAAUAACAGAGAUACUCUUUAGAGUUAAGUUAUAUAUAUUCCCGGUCAAAAUUCAGGAGAGGGACCUAUUUGAUGCAAAUGAAGAAACUACAUUGCGCUUUGUAAAAAAGUAAAUGUUAGGGGUUCAAUUGUUAUUAACCAUAUGCGUAAAUAUGAAAAUGCCCCCGGAAAGUACAAUUUGAAGAGAAGGAAGAGACUUACAGAGGUAUUGGAGUUAAACGGAACCCAGAUUCUAAAAGGAUCCGAUGGGUGACGGAAAUGGGUUGCGGGUAAGAACUGGAGGAGUCCAAGGAAUACGAUGAGGCCAAGCGCGAUGAAUUGAAAUAUGGGUUUCGGAGUCGGAGCCUGUUCCAGAACCGGACCAUGGGUUCCGUCAGUAUUCGGGUUGUCAGAAGCUUGUGCUGUUCUUCUUUGACUGGCGGAAGACCUCGAAGGUAGGAACGAAGAGGAAGACAUUGACUGUUUUGAAUCUUCUGUGUGAUUAGCGUUCAAUCCAAACUUUUAACUCCUGUCACAGCCUUUUUUUUUUUUUUUUUUUUUUUAAUUUUUCCCUUUUUUUUUUUUUUAAANNNNNNNNNNNNNNNNNNNNNNNNNNNNNNNNNNNNNNNNNNNNNNNNNNNNNNNNNNNNNNNNNNNNNNNNNNNNNNNNNNNNNNNNNNNNNNNNNNNNNNNNNNNNNNNNNNNNNNNNNNNNNNNNNNNNNNNNNNNNNNNNNNNNNNNNNNNNNNNNNNNNNNNNNNNNNNNNNNNNNNNNNNNNNNNNNNNNNNNNNNNNNNNNNNNNNNNNNNNNNNNNNNNNNNNNNNNNNNNNNNNNNNNCCCUUUUUUUUUUUUUUUUUUUUUUAACUUUUAUGAUUCUUACCGAUUUAUCACAAAAAUUCGAUGUUUGUCAAUCUAGUCCCACAAAUAACGGAAAGAAAUUUACUCCGAAUCCAUAGUUUUAACGUCAUUAUCAACGUACUUGUAAUAUGAAAAAAAAGAAAAAGAAAAAAAGAAAUCUCAUUGUUAAAAGUAAUUUAAAAAAUAUUUAUCUUUCUCCUCACGAGCCAUCCUAAUUGUUUCUUCUUAGUUUUCUGAAAGGUAAACAAGACAUUAUACAUUGUUUAUCUAAUUGAAGGAUAGUCGCUUUUCUCGAAAGAAAUUCAAAAGCAAAAACUUAAGCUCAUGAGAAUAGUUAAUUGUUUACUCUAAUAGAUAAAAUUUGAUGCAAACAAGUAAUAUUUAAAAUUGACUAUGACAAGGCCAAUCUCUUAAUUACAAUAGUAGGACUAAACUAAUGAAUGUAAUUUAUGUUUUAUUUCAAGUGAAGAAAUUAUAUCUCAUAUUAUGUCACCAAAUUUGUGUGAGGAAUAUAUAUGGGAUAUUAUAUCCUAGCAUAAAAAAAAAAAAUCAAAAGUACAAGUAGGCACCAUGAGUUUUUGAUAAUAUUUUGAAAUCAUUUCAAUUUUUACUUUUAUUUCAACCAAUCAUUUUCUUAUAAUUUCAUUGAUCAUCGUUAAAAAAUUUAAGAUAAAAAGAUAAUUUUUACCUACAAUCUCUUAAAAUGUUGUUUUUCCCUUCUUAAAUGAAUCUAAAAUUAAAAUAGUUUUUUUAUUUUAAAUUAUUUAAUGAUGGUUAACAGAGUUAACAAAAAAAAUGAUUAGUUGAUAUAAAAUUAAAACUUGAGAUGACUUUGAGAUAUUGUUAUAAUUUCCUAAAUAUAUACCAAAUAAAGUAAUAGUUAAAGAGUUGUCCUUACCACAUGAAAAGUUAAGACUCUGAUUGAUUAUAGUUAAACAUUAUGGGAUUAGAUUAUUUUUAUUUUUAUUUUUAUUUUAUUUAGAAUCCGUAGUUAUGUUUAGUAUCAAAAAGCGGAGGUGGGAUAAAAUGAUGGGCCCACCAAUCUAAUCCCAAAUAGUUGGAAAAUUCUAUCUCUGGGGGAUCCCUAGGAAUAGUUUUUUCAAAGCUGAAAAUUUAUCCUAUACUGUUCACAUUAUUAAAGAUGAUGCGUUACCAAUUUUGCUUAUUAUAUUUGUUGAUGAUAUUAUUGAGUAAACUCUUCUUUAAAAACUAUAAACAACUUAAAUGUUAAAAAAAUUACAGAAUUUUUUUUCAUUUUCUUUUUUCAUUGUUUGGAUUUAUUGAUAAAUUAAUUUAAUAUUGAUUAUAUCUUACAUUACUUUAUAAUUUUUUUAGGCUAUAUUAAACGUCUAAUGAAAAAUUUUAAUGCUAGAACUUUGAAAUAUGAGUUUAUGUGGAACAAAUAUACUUUCCAGAAUGUAGUGUAACAAUUAAUUUGAGAUAAUUUUGAUUAAAACAAUAUAUAAAAUAAAUUAGUAACUAUCUAAUCAAAUGACAUAACAAACACAAUAAAUGAUUAUUUAUAGUCCAAUCUAAAUAACAUAAAACACAAUGUGAUAUUAUUAAAUAUAUAUUAUGUACAGUAACAGGAUAUCGUGAGGCCGUCUUAGCUCAGUGGUAGAGCGCGUGGCUUUUAACCACGUGGUCGUGGGUUCGAUCCCCACAGACGGCGAACAUUUUGCUCUUAUUAUUUGUGAGCCUGGGCAUGGCUAAGUUUUUGGUUUCCUACACGUGGAUACAGGGGGCUGGGCAGGGAAGAGAGCGGGAUCAUACGAUGAUUCGGUGCUUCGCGCCUGUACGGUCGGUCCAUGCUUUCCACAAUCACACCAUUCGUUUUGUCACUCCCAAACUCACCGCAAAUUCUUCUUCUUCUUCAUUAUUAUCGACGAGAAGAGAAGCUCUAACCGUGUCAAUUGUAACCACCACUCUUGAAAUACUGAUAUCGUCAUUCUCUGCUUCUUCUUCUGCUGCUGCUGCUGCUGCUGCUGAGUUGUUGGAGCUCCCAAAUUCCGGUGGCGUUAAAGCUUUGGACCUUCGCCUCGGCAGGGGUCCGGUUCCCGUCGACGGCGACCAGGUUAUCUAAUCAAUUUUUUAAAUUUUUUUCUCAAUUUUUAUUAAGAAAAACAAAGGCACUUAUUACUUUACUUCUUCGUAUAGUAGUACAAUAAUGUUUUUGGAGCUUUUCUAUGGAAGCCGUUAAUAAUUGCUGAAAUGCUUUCUAGAGAAGGAGUUUUUUUAUGUGCUUUCCCAAAACCCGAUUUUGAAAGAAGCUAUCAUUUAUUGUCUAUUUGAAUCAAUGAAGAUCUAAACAAAAAACGAUUUGGGUUAUUUACACACACAGCCGAAACCCAAUAUUAAUUUUUGUUCAUACUUAAUUUGCUGUGCCUUACGGCUUUCCUUAACUCGAUAUACAUAGACGUAAUUAUAUUGGCACUUUGAAUCUGAAAAGGUUGCAAUACACUACUAUGGAAGAUUGGCUGCUAAACAGGGCUGGCGCUUUGACUCUACGUAUGAUCACAAAGAUCAAUCUGGGGAACCAAUUCCUUUUCUCUUCAUCCUUGGUUCUGGGAAAGUAAGUCCUAAUUUUCUUGUAAAUGCUAUUUGCUAAUUGUUAGGUGAAACGGGAAGAGUGACAUGGUGCCACAGGGAGAAAACAACUAGCUGUUUCAAGUUCAAAAGUUAAAAGAAAAAUAUAUAUAGGUCAUGGUUCUACUCGUAGCAACUCUAACAUAUGGGUUUUUCACUUGUCUUGUUCGGUUCUUAUAUGGAUUCAUUGCAUGCGUAUACACAUGUGUAUUCAUUCACUAAUUAAUUCUCUUUGCCUAAAUCUUGGAAGAAUCAACAUUUAACAAUAAAUAUAUAACUGUUAAUGGUUGAGCUUGGUUGGUAAUUUUAAUAACACGAAAUUGGAAAAUGCUGUGAUGUUAGUUUGUCAAUUGAAACUCUAAGCAGGUGAUUCCAGGGAUUGAAGCAGCUGUGAGAUCUAUGAAAGUUGGAGGUAUCCGUCGGGUAGUAAUUCCCCCGUCACAAGGAUAUCAGAACACAUCACAAGAACCAAUACCUCCUAAUGUAUGUACUAUGUUUUUCUUCUCCUUGUUCUUUAUGCUCUGUUCUCUUCUAUAAACAGCCAUUUUUUCUUCAUUUUGAAAUCUCAAGCCCAAUUUACAAAAAUAUGGAAUUUGUUUCUAUCUUAAGAUUCCCCUGAUUAUUCAUAAACUCAAUUUGAUUUGGUAUAUAUUUUAUGUGGUCUUGCUGGACUCUGAUUUUAGCUCCAUGUUCCGGGACAUUGUUCAUACUUUACACUCACCUGUUUUUGAUUGUUCUACAGUUCUUUGAUCGACAGAGGCUGUUUACCACCAUUUUCAACCCAACCCGUCUUGCCAAUGGAGAAGGUUCAACGCUUGGGACUUUGAUUUUUGAUAUUGAGCUGGUGAGCCUGAGGCAUUAGUGAAGUCCACCACCCACUUACCGUAUAUGUAUGUAUGUAUGCCGUGUAGCUCUCUAUUGAGAUCUUAGCAGAAUUAACGUUGAACAUCUUAUUAAUUCUUGUUUGUGUCAUACGGUGUAUGUGUACAAUGUAAUAGUUGAUUAAUCUAUUACAUAUAUCAUGAUAUGCAAACGAAACCUGAAUCAAUGACGACGAUACUCGAAAUUAAGAUAUAGGUUGUUGGCAAUUCAAAUUGCAUGUGAAAUUGGAGCUACUUUACGGGUCAUUGUUGUGAUGCCGUGACUGACCUGUGACUCUGUGAGGAGUAACGUAAAGGCUGGGCAAUGCAAUUGCAAUGUAGUGGAAAUGUGAAGUGGAAGCGUUUGGGUACUUAUUAGAUGUGUCGCGCGUCUAUCUAAUUCAAUGCAUCUUAUCAGCAACAGUGCCACGUUGAUGUGUCAAGGCGAUUGGGUUUCACUGGAGAGCCACCAAGCCGAGGAAUGUGUCGUUUAUCUUUGUAUGAAUAGAAUGUGUGUCCUAAUUUGUACUUUCAAUAUAUUAUUGUUUUUAUAAAUUGUAGAUGAACAAUAUCAUAAUUGGAAAUUGCGAAUAAAGUCCUUGCACUGUUUACUCGCUUACCCUACACAUGCAAUGUGUGAUUUCUUGAUUUGUCCAUGAACAAGUAACUUUUUAGGAACUUUAUGCAAAUUUUUAAAAAUAAAUGAUUUUUACGGUUAUCUAACUCACUAAAUUUAUUUCUCCACUCAUUUUAGAAAAAUAAAUUCAUUACUAAAAGUUUAUAAUUCAAAAUACCAAAAUUACCCUUUAUUAUUCUCUUUCUCUGUAUACUCAUAAUUGCAUAGUCUCUUCCUACUUUUGUAUUCUUUAAAUUAAACUAUUAAUUUCACUUUCUUUUGAAUUCAAUUUUUUUUUCUCUUUCUUAGUAAAUCACAAUCUCUAUUUCAUACUUUCCAUAUACAAUUUUUUUUUCUUGAUAUUCAUUAGCUUCUAUGACUAGUAAAGAUUAAUUUCUUAAUAUUCAUUAACUUUUAUGACUAGUAAAUAUUUGUUGAUAUUCAUUUUUUAAUUAUGGGUUUUGCUUCUCUUAAUUUAUGAUAACCCAUAAUAAAACUAAUUAUUUGUAAAUAAAUGAAAACAUAUGUAAGAAUUGAUGAGAAUUGAGGAAUAUAUAAUGAAUAGAGAAGAAAAGUUAAUUAAAUAAUUUUAUCAAAAAAUUUGUUGGUAAUAAAAUUUUUAAUUAAAAAUAAUGUAGAAAGAAAAUUAAUUUGUUCAAAUAGCCCCACCCUCAAUAUAAUAGGCUCCCUAUUCUAUUCAGUGAGCUGAUUAUUAUUAUAUCCAUCAAUUUAAAAUUUGUUUAUUGAGUAAAGGGCAAAUUCAUUCAAAAUAUAUCUCAUCGAAUCAACAUUUGCAUGUAAUUUACAUAUACUAAUUAAGGGGUAGGACGAUGUUAUUGGCAAUCUCUCUCUACAUAGAAUUUACCAUCAUAUUCAAAGCAAUUUUUUUUUUGGGCUACUGAUUGAGUGGAAAUUUAAAAUGUCAUCUACAAAAAUUUGGACCAUGCUACAAUAGCCGGUUGUAUGAUAACUUGGCUCCAAAAAUUUAUACAUAUAAAAGAUAGUCUCAAUCAUUUCAAACAUGUGAAUUCAGUUAAACUUAAUUUAAACCUUCUAUUAAGUAUAAUUAAUUUCUCCUAAUCCAAUCAUUCUAAACGUACUUAAUACAUUUUUUUAUUAUUUUAUAAUAUAUAGCAAUGUAUAGAAGUGGAGAUUUUAUUUAAGACAAGUGAAAAGAAGCCCACAAAACGAACACCCAAAUGAAAGUGGCUCCAUCCACAUCCUCAAUAUUAUUGAGGCAAGAAAUUGAAGUCCGCAUCAAUAAUAAGACCCCACUUUUGCUUCUAAUCUCAAUUACACCCACCUUUUGCUUUCUCUGCCGCUCUCUCUCUCUCAAGCCUCAUUAAACCUCCAACUUUACUCUUCCUUCUCUCUCUCUCUCUCUCUCUCUCUCUCGCGUAAAAAAGCAAAGCAUAGCAACAAACAAAAUUGGAGAGGAGAGAGAGACCUCUUGGAGCUUUAAAACAAAAUAAAAAAUAAAAACAAGCCCAGAUCUCAUCUCAUCUCAACUCGACUCAAUUAGUCUCAUCAAAAUGAGCCAGAAAUCGCUGAUCUACGCCUUCGUGGCGCGCGGAAAUGUUGUGCUUGCUGAGUACACUGAGUUCAGUGGCAAUUUCAACUCCAUAGCCUAUCAGUGCCUCCAGAAACUCCCUGCUUCCAACAACAAGUUCACUUACAACUGUGAUGCUCACACCUUCAAUUAUCUCGUCGAUAAUGGUUACAGUUAUGUUCUUUUAUCUUUGCCUCACUUCGUUUGCGUUUUGAUUUGUGGGUAUGUUAUGAGAAAUUGGGGGAUUCAGGUUCGGUAGCGGUGGCUCUCGUGUCAUUUUAUAGCUUAGGGAUUAUCUUUGGUUAUUUUAAAUAACGCUUUUAUGCUUUUCGAUUAGUUUAUUUGCUUACUCUACUGUCGGCGAAACUGCCAGGAAGCAGCCUGCUAUUGUAUUUAGCUUGUAAUUACAUGUUGAUACUUGAAAGAAGAUUACGAGGGCGUUCGCUGUCUUGUUAGUUGCAAAUAUAGUUAACUAUUCCGAGUAAAUCGUGCUGUCGUAGUUCAUCUGCUGUAUACUCUGUGUGUUGUUUUCUUUUCUAUUCUGUUGGUAGGUUGGCUGACAUUUCGAUGUUGCAGCAUAUUGUGUGGUCGCAGAUGAAUCGUCCGGAAGACAAAUACCGAUGGCUUUUCUGGAGCGCGUCAAGGAUGAAUUUGUUUCCAAAUAUGGGGGUGGAAAGGCUGCCACGGCUCCUGCCAAUGGCCUGAACAAGGAAUUUGGGUAUUCUGUUGUGAUUCUGAUAUUAAAGCCCAUGAACAGACGAUUUUCUUGUUACUCUAGUUUGCUUAAUAUAUUAUACUUUGCAGACCAAAAUUGAAAGAACUUAUGCAGUACUGUGUUGAUCAUCCUGAGGAGAUCAGCAAGCUUGCGAAGGUUAAGGCUCAGGUUUCAGAAGUCAAAGGUGUUAUGAUGGAGAAUAUUGAAAAGGUAGGGAUGCUUUGUUUGUUUCAUAAGUGAUUUGUUGGGUUUUCUACAGGAUAGAUGUAUCAGUAGUUUGUUCUCACUUGCUUUUAGAUGCUGGGUUCAUUCUUUCUUUUCCUUUUGCCUUUUACAGUUAUUGAAUAUUUUACAAGUGUUCCUAUUUGUGUUAGAAAUAGUUAAAAGUGAAGCUGGGGGGAAGAUUGCAAAAUUAUUGUAUUGAAAAUGUCAUGGGAGAAAAACAAAGAAACUCAAAAUUAAAGAAAAAUAAGUGACAAAUUGGAAAAUGGAUUGCUGAGAGCCUGAUGCAGUUACAAUUUCACUUUAUAUCUAUCUGCAGCUCAUUAAUACUUUCAUUUUAAGGUCUGAUUGGUAGCAAGUCGUUAGUUCUCUUUUUAGACUCUCUAUUGAAGCAGGCUAUUAGGCAUGCCAAACAAUUUGGCUUCUCCUUCCUCAAUGUCUAAGAAAAGUAACAUGUACACAUGUGAUUGCAUUCGAGAAGGUGAGAGGUGUUGUUAAAUGUGUUUUUCUCUUGAUGAGGUUUUAGGAAUAGUAUCAUGAAUUUGGAAAUUUCAUUUCCCUAAUUUGUAUCUUAUAGCACCUCACUUGAAUCAUAUUUAUUAUGCCACGAAGGUUUUUUUGUGCUUUUGAGAAUUAUAUGUAUAACCAGUUAAUAAUUAUUUGCACGAUUUAAUCUCUGUGUAGUUUAAGUUGCAUAGCAGAUAAUGUUCCGACAAAAAGAUCGAUAACUGCACACUUCUAGGAUAAAAUUCUAUGUUGGAAAAGUUGACUAACUCCAUUUUUUCUUUUUUAUGUAAAAUGCAAAUAUCCUCUUAUUGAAUCAAAAUAAUGUGUGGUACAUUCUGUUGACUUAUACGGACUAUUUGGACCUCAAUGCCUUUUCAUCCCUUGUUUGUCACUGUUGUGGUAUAGUCAUCACUGACUCAUCCUUGAGUUUUGAUGCAGGUUUUAGAUAGGGGGGAAAAGAUUGAGCUACUGGUCGAUAAGACUGAGAACCUUCAUCAGCAGGUUAGUGUCUCUUUUCGCUUUUGCGCUACAAAUGUGUGUGUGUGAUAAUAAUUUGAACGUAAAACUUUAAGAACUUUGAUUGAGUAAAUCUCUAUUCCGUCUGAGGGUGAAUGGCAGUUGAAGUUUAUGUUUAGGUCAAAUCAUACAUUUUGACUUUUAGUACAAAAAUCUCUGUAGCUUUCCUUCAAAGUCCAAUGUCAUUGAACCUCCUUUUCUCUCCCAUGUUGGAUACCACAAAGGAUAGAUGAUUUGCUGCAUGAUUAAUAUUGAUGACCUCAUUGUAAAAUGUAUCACGUGAUUUGAUAUUAUCUUCACCAUUUUUGAGUUUUCAGCCAUUUGUUUGAAAGCAUUACAAUGAUACUUUUCAUGUCCUCAUAGACAAGGGCAAGUCGUUCCUAAUUGGAAAAUUGAACACUUGCAGGCACAAGACUUUCGGAGUACGGGGACCAAAAUGCGGAGGAAAAUGUGGCUGCAAAAUAUGAAGAUCAAGCUGAUUGUUUUGGGAAUACUGAUUGCCUUGAUCCUCAUCAUAGUCCUCUCUGUUUGCCAUGGUUUCAACUGCGGAAAAUGAGUGCUAUUCUCCAGGAGGCUUAUAUUACGCUCUUCUAAGAGCUUCUGUGAUGAUAUUGUGAAAGAGAUAUAUAAAUAUAUAUGAUCUUGACUUUGUAUUUAGUCUAAAAAAGUUAGCAGUUUCCCUAUAUUUGUUACAAAGAAAACCGAAAACUUAUUUUUGCUUGUGAAUGAGUCCCGUCAUUAUAUUGUGAGAAUACUUGUGCAAAGAUGCUGCUGCUGAUUAUACCGGCCAGAACUAAAAUAGGCCUUCUUAGCUAGCUUCGAAUUUGCUGAAUUUGUGUGGAAGUAGCUUUAACUUUCCCAGUAUUCUAAACUUUCCCAGAUCGGGCGCCAGCGCCACAUAGUUCUGUGAUGGGUGACAUUGUUAAAUCUCUAUUCAGUAAAGUAUCGAUUACAUUAUUAGGUAACGUGUAUAAAUACGUGGUAUAAAGUAUAUGAUCGAUUCUAGACCUUUGGCAGUGAGAGUGUACUACAUUCAGUAAAGUAGCAGAAAAUGAAUUUUGCCAAAGCUAUCAGAAGAAACACGAGGAUUGUACAUUGCAAGUAAUUCUUGCCAAACAAAACUGAUGUUCUUGUCGCGAAGAACAAAGCUAAAUCACAGGACGUGAUGACUACUGACUAGCACAACAUGAGCUCCAAAACCUUCAGUAGUAGCGUUGUUAUAUACAGCUAGAUACUAAUAGGUUUCACACUUCUGAAGGAUGCAACGCAACACAAAUACAGCGAUGAUUUAAGUUUAGGCACAUUACCAUACUUAUCUUUAUCAUAAUCAUAAUAAAAUUUAAGAUAAACUUCUCCUAGGCUUGAAUAAACAAUGUUGAUCAUCAUCAAUAACAUCACCAACAUUCCAACGCACCCUUUUACCCCCUCUACACACCCCAUUUCUCAAAUCCACCCCAAAUCCAACCCCAUUGUUUCCUUUCACCCCAAUCUUGAACCUCACUUUCUCCCUCUCUUUUGCCAAAUCUCCACCCAAAACUUCCCACUUGUAUCCUCCAAAAGUAAACCUUUCUCCUUCAGGAAAUUCUGAGUUCUCCCACAACUUUUCACUUCUGUUGCAAACCGGUCCCUGGCAUUCCUUAUUGUAACUUCUCUCGUCAGGAAAUGCUGGCAACCAUUUUGGGAUAUGCAAAUGCAAGCUUCUUGAGCCCCGGUCAUUCUCUUUCUUGCAGCAAACCGAAUUUGCAUGCGCAUUUUUGCUUCGGGGAAUGGGUUUCGCAAAUGGGAUUUCACAACCGUGCCUAACAAAACCGGCAAUCUCUUUUAAAACCCCAGAAUCCAACAUGCAGUUUCGGUUAAGAGCUGACGCACCAGGAAAGCCUUGACCAGACGACACGUCGUUUAGGGCGUUUGUGAGGUCUACGAGGUUGGAUUCGCUGCGGUGGGCCACAUGGGAAUACGAUGCGGCCCUACUGGCCAGCUGUUGAAGAUACUUGGCGGCCACCAACGUUAGGGUUUCGAGGGCUGAGCUUUCCGCCGCCUUGAACCCAACGGAACGGCAGAUCUGAGACACCGCAACUUUUGUGACGGUGAAUGCGAACUCCGAAGGGGUUUCUUCUCCUUGUUCUGUUGGUGGCUUUUGAUUUUGUUUUUGGUGUUUUUUCGUUUUUGUUUUCUGGGAUUUCAUCGUUAGUGUAUCGGAGCAGAGACUACUCUUUUAAGCAGAGCCGCCCCAAUCGAAUUUGAUUUUUAAUGGCUUCCUUCUAAAUUGGGGGGCUUUUCCGUAAUAUAAUUUUAUUUUUGUUUUUCUUCUUCGAAUUUAAUUCAGGAGAAAAGUUUGAUGCGUGCGUGUUGGGCUUUGAACCCGCGCUCACAAAUGGCAGAAACUGAGGAAAUCCUGGUCUGAAGCCUGCCACUGAGCUAGUCACAUUGGUUGUAUGACUAUUGUUCGCUAUUUUUAUUUAUUUUUUAAUCGGCAAUAUUAAUACAUACCAAAUAUUUUUAAAAAAGUACGAUACAAAUUUCAUAUUCCGAUUUUUGUAAUUUUAGUAUUUACUAAAGUAAAAUCUUUAAAAUUAUACAUUUUAAGUCUCAUAUUAUGAGGGAUAAAGUGCCAUUUGAUAAGGUUCUUUUAAAAAUCAUUUUGAAAAAAAAUAAAAAUAAAAGAUUUCGCUUAACCACAUUCAUCAGUUUUUUUUUUUUUUAAUGAUUGGAACUUUUAACACCCAUUUUAAAUCUUCAUAACAUUUUUUUUUUUAACUACUCCAGUUUUAUUUAGAAAAAUAUAAAUCUAUAUGUUAAAAAAGAUUAUUUUCCUUUUACUGCUUAAGAUAUUGUAAAAUAACGAAUAGGUGUAAUAAAUAAUGAAAUAACAAAUAAGUGUAAUAAGUAUUGCAACAUAAUAUAAAUAUAAAUAUAAAUUACGAAAUAGGGUAGUGUAAAAAAAAAUAAUGUGUUUGAGUAUUCAACUGAAUUUCUAUUAAAAAUCAUUUAUUUAAGUGUUCAGUUGAAUUUGCAUUCAAAAUAAUAAAUGAAUUAAAUUUUUUUUUUUUUUUUCAUAGUUAGGUGAUUUUCAAUUUUUUGCGGUCUCCAAAGGCUUACUCUUUCUUAAUGCCUCAGGUCUCUCCGUGCUUGAAGCCCACACGUGACAGGUGCCUAAAUCUUGUAAGGUUUCGAUUCUCUGGGCUAAUAAAUUUGCUUUCAAAAUUAAUAAAUGGGCUCAACCCAACUCAAUAUAUAUAUUCAUUGAUCCAUUUGAUCUUCUUCCAAGUCCACUACAUGUUCCGAGUGGUCUAAUUCCGUUUCAUAUAAUAUUUUCUCAGCUUCUGUUUCUAAGAAAUAAAUCAUCAAAAUUUUAUUAACAAAUAGAACAAAUCGCAUAAGAUAAAAUGUGGGUACAUAUUGAACAACAUCAAUUAAAGCCACUACAAAUAUAUAAUUGGUGCUUCACCCAAGGGACCAUUACUCAUGAUUCAUGAAAGUGAUCUCAUUCUUUGUCGCAGUUCAAGAUCUAUAUCAUAUUAUACGUGACAAAUAAUUCAUGAAACUACUCUAUUUGUCCAUAAAUAGCAUACAAACCCCAGAUAAUGGCCAAAAAUCUUCUUAAAUGAUAACCCCCAUUUCAAUUCUUCAUGUUGCCUUCAAGAAAAUAUAGCUGGAUUGAAGAUAAGAAUGUUCGAGUCAUUGCUUGACAACCAAUGGUUUCUUUAUGCACAUCCUUUGAAUUAUCUUUCAUAAAAAAAAAAAAAAAAAUGUAGGGACAGAAUCGUUAAUUAUUCAUCACCACAAAUUUUUAUUAUUAAAAGGUGGGGUGUUGUUUUAAGUACAUAAAUUUAAGAGAGAAAGAAUUCAAACACCGGUUGCACGUAUCUUUCAUGCCAUGAAAAUGUGUAUAAAUACUUUUUUUUUUAAAAAAAAAAAAAAAGAUAAAUAUAAGCCAUCUAAAGUUACAGUCGAAUAAAAUAGUAAUAAUUUGGUUUGUCUAAAAAAAAUAGUAGGUCGGCGGUCAAGUCAGCGUGGAUGGAGGGUGAUUAACGCAUUCGUCGUGAUCUACUAAUUACAAAUUUUAAUUAAAUUAAUGGUAACACAUUUCCAGAAUUAUAGUUAUUCUUUAGGCAUGAUUGAGGCUUUGCGAAAGAUUACUUAAAAAGAAGCAGCCAAUUAGCUAGCUAGAUGCUUCUCUUAAGCAAAGAUUCUCAAUCCAAAGCAAAAAAAAUCAGCAAUUAUUUUAAUCUUAGAUUAGGGUUCACUUCGUUUCAUUAAUUAAAAUAAUAAUCUAACGGUUGUGCAAAUGAUGGCAUGUGUGCAAUGGGAUUAGGUUUAGAGAAUUAAUUUACUAACGCCGGCUUAUAUGAUAAUUAAUCAUGCAUGUGAUUAUUAGGCUAUAUAAUAUAUAUAUAUAUACGCUGAAACAAAUUACGUAGUCAAAUAGGGUAUUAAUUGCGUAUUUGCAUGUGAAAAUGAUAUUAAGAAAACGAGGAGCGAAUUACCAAAAAAAAUGUUGAUUUCCGAUACAUUCUUAGCCUUGACUCUUAACCAUUAAGAAAUAAUUGAAGUCGUGUCUAUGACAACGUUUAAUCAUUAUAUUUUUAUACGCCAACUUAUGUUGUCAAUUAUUUUGUAGAUAUUUCAUGUUUUGAAUUCAGGUAUAUAUUUGAAUUUUGGUUCACCAAACCUGUUGGAUGUGGGAAAAAAAAAUAAAAUUGACUCCUCUAGAAGGCUAGACCAUUUGAUGACCCAGUAAAUUAGAUGCCUCUUAUGAUCAACUCUAGUAUCCUUUGAAUUUUCUUUGUAUAACGAACCUUAUCUUUCAAAAAUUGCGUGCUUACAUACAUUUGUAGACAUUGUUCUUGAUCAACAUCACCUGAAAGACCCCAGUGGAUUAUUAUUAUAAGUUUGUAGUCAGUUCAAAAGUCUCUUUCUAAAUUCCAAGUGUUGAGUUUUGUGCUUGUAAGAUAAUUCGAUGGUAGCAUUUUUAUUUAUUAGCUUUUGGAGCUUAUCAAGAAUAUUUGUGCUCUCAAAAGAUGAAUCAUCCUGGAAUUUAGAAAUUUAUUUUCUAUUCUAAAUCAUCACUUGAUUUGAAAAUAAAAACCCGUGUUUCAGCUUCUCCACUUGGUUUACAAAUAUGAAGAUUACAUUCUGUGUUUUCCAAUGAUAGCGACAGGAAACCCUAGUUAGGUUUUAUAAUUACAAUCCAGAAUAUUAUGCCAGCAACUACUACUUGUUUGUUCUUGAUUAUUGAUUCCUUCUUUCUAGGCUUUGUUUCAACUUGUAAGAAAAGAAAACCUGCCAAUAUCAAACUUGAAUAUAGUAAAAUUUGAAAGAAUGCUCAAAAAGUUGAUUAGGUGACUAAUUAAAUGCUUAUCAAAAUCUUGCAUAAUUUAAAUAAUCAGAUGAUGUCAGAAAUGAUACCAUUAGAAUUUUGCACAAAAUCUGCUAUCAAAUCAUGGUAAUCCAGCAGCCUCUAGAGGAUAAGCUAGUCUAAUAAGUUUAGAACAAUGAUAGGUCAGAUAGCAAUAUUUCUUUUGUAUUGUUUCUCCAGUGACCAGAACUAUAAUUGCACUUUGAACUUUUGUUUGUCAUUACUCAUUUCUGCUUAUGCAUUAUUUCUUAUUAUGAUAGCAAUGUGUGACUUUACUGUGGCAGCUUUUUCGGAUGCUCCAUGCGAUACAUGUCAAAAGCUUAAAUUUAGUGCAACUGGAGGAAAAAUGUACGAUUAGUUAAUUUGAUAAAUUUCAUCUGAAUCACAUUCACUUUUAUCCGGGGAAAUCUACAAGAAAUCUGCCAGUUAAUACUGAAUUUACCAGAACUCUUUUCCUCAUUCAAUAAUAUCACCAAUAAUUUUGCCUGUCAGUUUCCAGGGUUUCCUGUUUCUGCUGCACAUACUAUUUGGUGCUGUGCUGCCACACGCUAGCUAGCUAUAGAGUUAUUUUAUUUGGUAUUGCUCACAAAUUAAUCACUUCCAUACCUUGGCAAAAGCACUUCUAUCUUCUAAGAUAUUUUAGCUCUUCAAUGAAGUCCUGUGCUGCUGUCUAGACUCUAGUGUCGACAGAAUAGGGUUUGGUGGUUUUGGGAGAUUAGUGGAAAAAACGACUAGAUAAGUGCCUUUGGAGUCAUCAAACGCAAAGUGCCCUCCUACAAGCAAAAGGGUUUAAUUUUUAUAAUGUUUAACAUGGGGUAUUUUAUUCAUUUCUAAAAGAAUCUAAUAAGUAGAUUUUUCUUAACCAUCACUUGCAUGCUAACUUAUAAAAGUCAAUAAAUUGCAAAAAUAUUUACUUAACUCUUAAAAUAGUUCAUACAUAAAAUAAUUAUUAAUAAUUUAGGUGGGAAGUCAUGUUACGCACAUGUUUUGGAUAAUGCUUGUUUUAUGCAAUUCUAUUUGUAUACGGCUUUAAAAAACUUGGUCUAUACGUGAAAUAAUAAAGAGUCCCUCAAUUUGAGCUAAGACUUAAGAGAUGAAACAAGGUUUAACAAAAGCAAGAUAAAACUACUCAACUCUUGCGAGACAUAAACCAAAAUGUAUCAACAUCAAAUACAAGACUGAAAGCUGGAAAAUGGUCCACAAUUAUGUAACAUUAUUGUUGAUGAUAAAGAUAUAUACAUACGUGAGAAAAGACAACACUUAGGGUUCGAGCCAACAACAGGUGCACAACUAAUUUAUCGUGUAUGCAAAGCAGCCUCCAAAAAAGAAUUAAAUUCUAAUGGAAUUGACAAUGCCAAGUCGUAUUCAAUUGGGUUCCCGUUCAUUGUCUCUAAGCCUAUUUAUUGACAAUUUUACUCAAAAUCGAUAGGUGAAUUUUUGUCAAUUGCUGAAAGUUUUGUGUGAAUGAGAUUCUGUGUUGAAAUCCGAAAGUUGAUGGAAGCUAGUGCCCUCGGGUUGUUGUUUGAUGAACAAUUAAAUAAAGCUAUCUAUAUUUUAUGGCCGAAAGUAAUUGAUUUCGGUGUGUGAAAACGAAAUAGGAUUCUCAAGCUGUCUUUUCUUUCAUGUUCAUGUCUUGACGAUUUGUACGAGUUGUCUUUCCUGGCAAUAUCAUCAGAAACAAUAGUUUUCACUUUUCAACUAACAUUCGCUAAAUAUAGACCGUCAAUGGAGCUGGUUAAUUUAUCCCCCGAUGCUUCUGAAAUGAAUAAUUCUUUUUUACCUUUUUUGGACAAAAUAUACCUAGGAUAUACGUAAUUCUGUGUCACCGCAAUCAAAAUUCUGUUCUUUAUUUUAAUUAGCUUCCUCUUCUAGUUUAGUAAGCUCAGAUGAUAUGGAGAUUGGUAUGUAAUAUAGUCAGGUAAGACAUCUUUUGAUAAGUGAAACCGGACAAAUGGUGCAUAUAAUGUGUCAUUCAUUUUGAAGUUACUGACAAGAGGAACAACACUCUUGAUAUGCCUCGACUUUCGUCAAAUUUUUUGUCAAAUUUCAUCAUUUCUGAUCUCAGAAUAGAGUUUGAAGUCGCUUUUGUGAUACUAAAAAACUUAUAGAUAUUGUCUUUUUUUUUUUAAUUAUGGAAUUUUCAAAUUUAUAUAUCAUUUGCUUUCCUUUAAGGACGUAUAUUGUAUUUUAAAUAAUGUGGCAUUAAUAAGUAUAUACUAAACUCUUCUUAUCUAAGUAGUAUGUAUUGGUGUCACAAAAGUAGGAAAUUCAAUUUUUGUAUCCUAACUUUCUAAAUAUAUCACUAAUUCUUUUUCAUCUCUUGCUUUCAUUUUGUCUUGAUUCCUGAUGUUUUGAAGUUUUUUACACUAAUAAGAGAUUACACAAAAGCAAAUAGUGAAAAAAAAUAUUUUUUUUAAAAAGUAAUCAAAUGGGCCCUGGGACGCUUUCAAUUAACCAAUCCUUACACGCCACCGAUGCCAGUCACCUCAAAUUGUUAAAAAAAAUUGUACAAUAAUUUGUAAAUGUACAUCAUUAUUUUUUUUAUAUUAUUUAAAAAAAUAGACUCCCCACAAUUUGAAGUCAAUUGAUUAACUAAAUAAAACUACUAGUCUACAUUAGAUGUAUUAUAUAUACGAUUAAGCAGUGACGAAAAUUGUUUAACAUUAUCAUCAUCAAAUGGGGGAUUUGUUGGCAAAGCAUCAUACAGUGAUAAUUUUAUAUUAAUCAAAGCAAUGAGCAAGAUCUUAGGCGGCGCCAUUCAUAGAAAAAAAUAGUAGUGGUGUCAAAUCAUUUGAUCUCAACAAGAGACCUAAUUUUACUCUAAUUGGACGUGUUAUCAUUUUACUUGGUUUAAUAAUCACAACUUAAGAACAUGUAUGAAAUUUAAGGUUUUUGGUGGGACCCAAUUGCUCCCUUUUCUUUCUUUCACUCUUUUUUUUUUUUAAUUUUUUUUUUUAAAUUGCAUUAGUGAAGAAAGCAGAAGCACUUUAUCAAUGACUUCCAUUUAACCAUCAUUUAGCUACCCACCUUAAAGUGAUUCUGCUUCAUCUCAUGCUCACAAGAUUACAUUUCCAUUAUACAAAUUUGUAAAAAGAGUUGGGAUAUUGAUCAAUAUGUAAUAUACUGCUCACGAGCCAACCUAAAAGAUCAAUAAAGUUGGAUUUGAGUUCACUUUUUUUUUUUUUUUUUAAAUGGUGGUUCCCACUUUUUAAAGAGCUUUUGAAUCAUCAUAAAUGUAGGAUAUUCCCAGUGGUUGGCACAUAAAACCAACCUUUGAAUUGAAGAUAUCAAAAAUGGAAAAUCAAAGUGACUGGCUAGUGGCCAUUAAUGCUAGAAACUCCACUUCUGAAAAAUGAAGUAUGCUGUCUGCAUUUUCUAGGGUUUCCAAAUGGAAAGUUCCGGGAAAUAUAUUUUACUCAAAUCUUUAUUCCGAUCAAUUGAGACAAAAAAUAAAGAAAAUAAUAAUGCCCCUAAAAUUUGACCCAUUAAUUACAGCUAGCAUGCAUAGCAAAGAGAUUGAUUGAAGUGUCUAGCGAAUAUAAAGAUGAAAUUCUGACUUAAUCAUAAUGAAAGUGUGCAUGUUCACAUUGUACGCAAAGCAUAUGCAAAAGCGAAAUACAAAGUUGUUUUUUUCCUUGGCGGAGGACAAAUUUGCUGAAGUUUCCAAGCAUAUCUUCUUACCUUUUUUUUUUUUUUUUUUUAAUGUUAUUUAUGAGUGGUACCACAAGUUAAUAAUUUAGAAAAUGCAGCCAUCGUGCAAACCAACUUUCAUCAUAUUCACGAGUUAUAUAUAUAUAUGCUUUGCAGGCAUCACUAUCAAAACAGUGCAAUUAUCUCAAAUUAUUCGAUCUGGGAUCGAUGGCAAAUUAAAUUAAAUUAGCAUUUAGCUAUAUAUAUACAUUUCUGCUUUUGUCGUUUGGUUUUCUUACUUUUGUCAUCUUUUUGAGUGAAUGAGAAAGUACUUAAAGUUUAAUGUAUAAGUUUAAAGAGUUGGGCAAGCACAAUGGGGGAUUUGAUGGAAGCAAAAGCAAUAGCAGAGAGAGUGAAUGGUGGAUGUGGGAAUCAAGCCCAUCUGUCCAUCGCUAUAUUACAUUUAUUUGAUAUCUUUUCUUGUGCACAAACUUUUUUAUUUUUCUUUAUCUUUUUCUUUUUCACUUUUGGAGGAAUAAAAUUUAACACCAUUUUUAGAUAGUUCUGAACAUAUGAGUGGGUCGAUUGUUCCAUAUCCAUCCAAUUUGGUCAAUAAAAAAUAUAUAUAUAUGAUAAUAAUGGUUACUAAGAUAUGGCCAUCAAUUCAAUAUAGUGUGGGGGGACCAAAUUAAAGUGUACAUAUAUCCAAGCUUGGUUGUUGAGGAAUUUGGAUGUGUAUAAUUUACUGGGUUAAUUUUUCUUUUAUUACUGACAUUUUCGCUAUGGCUAUACGAAAUUAAGAUUAUAAGAAAGAUAAUGAAAUCUAUGAUAACCUCUCCAUACCAAAAAAAAAAAAAAAAAAAAUUCUACAAACCUGAUCGGAACCAUAGUCCACAAAAAGAUUUAACACCAAAUUUCCAGCGUUCCCAUUCCUUUAAUUUUGGCACAUUCACGCGGCAGAGUGCCAGAAAAUAUAAGUUUAUUUUGUGAAUAUAUGCAUUCAAAUAUCGCUGGCAAAAAUGCAGCCGGUUAAGGGAACUCUGUCAUCUAAAAAUAUCAACACCACCAUUUCGUUUUGGGUUAGUUUUACCCAUACAAGACCCAAUAUAAUGAUAUUGGCCUUAAUCAGCACCAGAUCGCUUAAACUCUUAACAACAAAGAUAAUUAAAUCUGACAGAUUAAAAAAAAAAAUCAAAAUAAGAAGCCCCGCCCGCACUGAAUGCAAAUAAUAUUAGAUAAGAGCAGAGAAUCAGAUCGGACCAUCGGUCACCCACUUGUCCGUACACAGACACCCCGGUUUAAAUAAGGAGACAAACGUCAUCAAAAGCAGGGAAACCGCAAUAAAACAGUCAUGGGCCCCACGUUCCCCUCCCUUCCUCCAAUGGGGUCCACUAACAUGGGGCAGCUUAACAACACCACCACCACCACCGUCAACAGACAACAGUAGGUUCAUUUCAUUUCAUCAUCAAUUCGAUUUUUAUUCUCCCAAAACGUUUCUGUAAAAAAAAAUAAAUAAAAAAAAAGAAAAGAAAAGAAAAAAUUCUGCCCCAACAAGCAAGCACACCUCACACGAGCGUAAACUGGGGCCCUCGCUCGACGGCCACGUUCGCGACGGACCAUUCUCUUUCUUUCCUUACACCUCAGGCUCCGAGUGGUCGCUGUUGGACUGUGGCAUCUUGACACCAUGCAGUUGAUACGUGGAGGAUAUGCCGAGAGUCGGUUAAUUAAAUCCCCGCCUUAUUUUCACAAAAAUAAAGCAGGGGAAUCAGUGAAAUGGCUUGACUGCCCUUGCAGGUUUGUCGUUAUUUCCGAAAAAACCGAAACGAAAGUCGAGAAGAAAAUGGAAAAUAAAAUUUGGGGUGAGGAUAAUUAAUUUAUUAUUUAAAUCAAAUCAAAUCCAAUCUACUUUCCAUGUUUUUGCUAAAAGUUAUGAAUUAAAUAAAGAUUCUCUCUCCAUAAGUCUUUGACUUUAUCUCUCCUCUCAAAUAAAACCAAAGCCUAAAUAAACCCACAAAUUCCAUUCAUCGAAACUUCCCCCACACUGCCACCCUCUCUUAUUUUGCAUGCUCUCGGCUCUCCUCUUUUUAACUCUUCAUCUCCUUUUCGUUCUCUCUUCUCUUUCAACCAAAGCCUUAACAAAGCACACCAAAACCAAAAAAUCGCAUUUUUUUUUCUUUUCAUCUUCAAAUAUGGCGGUUGAAGCUAGACGCAUAGACCUUCUCCCUUCGCAAUUAAUCUCACACAGGUAUUAAUAUUUUUUAUAUAUUUUACUACCGAAAAAUUAAAAAUAAAACUAUGUUUUUUUUUUUUUUUAAUUCUUUUCCGUUGUGUUAGAUGAAUCAGUUUCUUAUGUGUGGGUCGGGUUAUUUGUUAUUUGCAGAGAUUUUAUCAAAUCAAAUCAAGUAAACGCCAAUACCCAGAUGGAUUCUUUCUUUCCUUUUGCUGAACCAAUGCCUGAACAAACUAUGUUACCAUUCUAUCAAGCCUUCGAUUGCAAUCCGAUUUCUACUAAAACGUCAAUGGACAAAGCUGAUAGCGGGCUCACGUACAAUAUUCCCGCACCAAGAAAGCGCCAAAGAGAUUCAAUCAACGAUCUUGAUGCCUUCUCCCUUGUCUCUCAAAAGCAAAAGCUCUCUGGCUUCUCGUCUUUACUUGAUCAAGACAUCAUCUUUCGGUUGCAACAACAGCAGUCCGAAAUCGACCGUUACAUUGCCCAACAUGUAAGCAAAGCAAUCAUCUUUGUUUCUGAAGUUCCUUUAUUCCCUUCAUGCUCUCGUUUUAUGUUCAAUUUUUCUUUUCGGGUGUGUUAAUUUAAUAAUGCUUCAUUAACAGACGGAGAAAGUGAUAUUGGAACUUGAAGAACAGAGGAAGAGGCAAUCAAGAAUGUUAAUAUCAGCAAUCCAAGAAGGAGUGGCCAAUAAGUUAAAGGAAAAGGACGAAGAGAUUCAUAGAAUGAGGAAACUCAACUGGGUUCUUCAAGAAAGAGUAAAAAGUUUAUUUGUGGAGAAUCAAAUAUGGAGGGACUUGGCGCAAACCAACGAGGCCACAGCCAACACUCUACGUAGCAAUCUCGAACAGGUCUUGGCACACGUGGGGGGCGAAGGCGAUGACUGUGCUGGUGGUGGUGCCACGCUGGCAGCUGCGGCGGAGGAUGAUGCGGAGUCGAGCUGCGGGAGCAGUGAUUUUGGGAGGAGCACGAUAGCAGGGGAGGGUGCGCAGGAUAAGGCGGUUGGUGGUGGUAGGAUGUUGUGCCGACGGUGUGGGGAGAAGGAGUCGAGCGUGUUGCUGCUGCCAUGCCGGCACUUGUGUUUGUGUACAGUUUGUGGGUCCUGUCUUAUUGGUUCCUGUCCGGUUUGUAACUUUGUAGUGGAUGCCAGUCUCCAUGUUAACUUGUCUUAAUUAAUUACAAUCAGAAAAGAAAAAAAAAUGAACAGCUAUUGAAAAAAAAAUUAUUCAGGAAAUAUAGAAUUUUUUUUUUAAUUGGUUUUUGUUUCGCUUAUUGCUUAUCUUUGUUUAAUCGGCAUUUUUCUCUUAUCUUGGGAGUGUUUUAGUAAUUUUUGAAAAAUUAGAAAUGGUCCGAAGGUAAAAUUUGGAAAUAAAAUUGACCUUAGAUAAAAAGGGCGGAAAUGGGUCACGAGAUUGCAAAAUUGGAAUAGCAUUUUUGUUGUUCAUCUGAAUGGAGGAGACUGAGGGGGCGCAUUCAAUCACUCUCUUUGCAUUUUCUUGGCAAUGGGGCUAGCACUUGUUUGCUUCUAUUUAAUGGUAAAGCAGGAAAGGUUAGAAAUUUUAAUAAAAUAAAAAAAAAAAAGAGGAAAAUGAUGGUGGUGACUGUGAACGGCAUCAUUGCCACCGAUCCUUGGAAUCAACAGAAAUUGCACACUAGCCUUAGAGAGAGGAAUUGUGUUACUGGCCCACUUAUGACAAGAUCCAGAGAUCUGUUCGUGGAAUCAUUUAUUAUUUCUUUUUUUCACUCUGCUUUAUCCGUUUAAAUUUCUAGGACUCAAUCAUGCAAUUUUCUUUUUCAAGUGGUCUUCUUUGUCAUUAAAAAAAAAGGGGGGGAGAAGCCUGAUUUCUUAUUUGUACUUGUUCCCAUAUUGAAUAUUUUAUUCAAACCCCCCACAUUCAAUCCCCACUAUCAAGUUUUCAAUUCAAAUCCGUUGUUAUUAGAGUAUUUUAUUUUGCAUUAAAAAGAUUAAUUUAAACGACGUAGUUUUAAGUUAGGACGACCAAGAAAAAAAAGUUCGACUCAAAAAUUUAAAAAAAAUAAAUAUAUAACAAUAAUAACAAUGAAAGGGUAAGCUAGCUAGAAAGAAGAGCAUUAAAACCUGGGCAUGUGCCAAGUGGCAAAGACGACCUGAUACGUCAGACUGAAACUCAGUGCGGGGUCCACCACGUGUUGUUCCUCUGCAACCCCAACUGCAGCACUGCAGUGUGUGCAUGGCGUUUUAUAUAAUUACAACCUUGCGUUCCUGUUGAAAAAGAAGAAACAAAUGCUACGCAGCGUUAAAUACAAGGCAAACAAAAAUUAAUUUUAUUUAUUUAUUUUUGGUUAAAAAAUGGCUAAAGAUAAAGAUUAUGAGAGCAGUACGAAAAAGGUCAAGCCAACUGCCUAAUUACCACUCAUACUAACCGUACGUUGCACCUACUCGUACACACUCAUAACAUGCGUGCUGCAGAUGCAACUUGUCAGUGGGGUGUCAAAAGCAAAAGCAUAAUUAUUAUUGUCUUUUACUUUCUAUUUUCCCCCAAAAAAUCAGAUGAUUUUAGAAAUUAGAGAUCGAUUUUUUAUUUUUUUUUUCACGUUUACGCCCAAGCCAAUGUGCUAGACUCUUAUGGCUUCUUGCUCUUGAUGCACUAUCAUAACUUUGUAUAGUAAUUUUGUAAUCAAUACUCAAUAUAAAUUUUGAAAACGAUGCGUUGCCCAAAUGUACAGGCCUCAAUUGAAUGCGCGGUACUGUGUUCGCAGUUGAAGUGACGGUGUGGGGGAGGUGAACCAAACACAAUAAGAAAAAUAAAAUAGGGACCCUAAAAUUCCGCCGACGUCGUGCUGCACAAGGCGUACGCUCGCCCGUUCGUUCAACAUCAUCAUUAUUAUUAUCAUUUGUUUUUUUUACAUAAAAUUAAUUAAAUAAUCAGGUGGCUAAAUUGGGCAGAAAUUUUGGAUGGUACAAAGCCGACAAAAACCAGAGCGUUAAAGUUGUAAGAACACGAGAAAAUGAAAAAAAAAAACAAUAAUAACAGUAAUAAGAUAUCAUCAUAACUUGUUCUAAUUUUGGCAGUAGGUGUUAAAAAGUGCUGUGUUUGUAUUUGUGUCCCCUGAUUUUUUGUCUUUUCCAUGGGGUGUGGGUCCACGUGGAAAAUCUCGAUUUUUUAAAAAAUAGGGUCCCACUUUAGUAGGUUAAAGUUUAAUUUGGACACGUGUUGUCACUCUCAUGCUGAUCACUGUCUCUCUUUUUUUUUUAUUUUUUCCAUGUCAUGUCUUGUUUUUAUUUUAUUUUUUGUUUUUCUUUUAUUAUUUUACUAGAGAAUCGUACGGGUCUACGAGGAAGAGAAAGUUGAUGAGUCGACGGAGUGGGGUGGUCUGAUUUGUUUAUUAUUAUAUUAAAAAUAACAAAGAAUAUAUACGAAGUUAAUUAAUUAAGUAUUUGCAAAAGUUGAUUUUGCAUAAAUUAUCGUAUGAAUAACUACCAAUUAUAACCACUAAUUGCUCACUUAAUUGUAUCAUAUAUGGUUAAUUAUUUUGUAAACUUUGGGAAUUGGGUAAAGGUCCCCAUCCUUUAGCUGGAGCUGGGGUUGAUGGUAUGGGCACCCAGUCUCCCAAAUAUUGACAACAACAAGCAGCUGUACAAUCUAACUUUGUUUUCCCUUUUUAAUGAGCAUUUUCUAAGUUGCUACAGUUUUCAAAUUACAAAAAUAAUUAAAGCAAGUGUAUGUGGCACCCUACUUUUUUUUUAUUUUGAAAAAUAAUAAUUCUGCAUAAAAGUCCUGCAACAAUCAAAAUAUUAAUUAGGAUUAUAACUCAUUUCAUAUUUGAUUAGAUGGUUAGGCUUUGAAGGCAUUUUCUAUUGUCACAACACAAUAAAUUUGAUUAGUUAAGUGCACAUAUAUAACAAUAGCCAAUUGUUCAAGUUACAGUUGACGUAACUUACAUUUUAUCAAAAAAUAUGCAACCACAUGUAAUAACUUUUUGCAUAUUUUUGUAUGGAGUAUAAGUUACAAUAAUUAUAACUUAAAGGAAGGGAUCCAUAACAAUAACAUCCAUUAUAGUCAAAUGAAGAGACCAAAGAAGGUGUUAUAUAGGUAUGGUCAAAAGUUCAAAUAAUGGGUGAAAAUACAAUGAAACUACAUAUAACUCUCUCUAAUGUAUGAUAAAAUCUUCACAUCAAACAUUUUAAUUAGUACCUGUGGAGUGAUUUGCACAAGACUCUUGUGAAUUACCUAUACUCACCUUACAACUAACAUCACAAGUUUAUGUGUUGCACCACAUAUAAAAUGAAUUCACCAACAAUUUUUUAAAAAAUAUAUAUAUGAGUCCGUUUACCUCGUCGUUAUAAUUAUGUAACACAAUCCCUUUGAGUAUCUAUCAACGUGCAAUCCUAGCAGUACAUGUUGAGAUAAAAAAGAGAAUAAAAUUCUCAAAACCCUAAUUAUUAAAAUGAUGGGCGCAGAUGAAAGCAACGUUUGAUGAUGGAGAUUUUUGCCCAAAAAAAGGGACCCAUCUAAUUGGGACAUUUUGUCCCUCUAUGACCGGCAUAAUCCUUUAUAAUUUAAGAGCAAUCCUAUCUAUUUUGUGUCAGAAACCGAAAAGAAAGUUAUUAAAAAUUAAGAAUCGAAUAAUCAACUUCUUUAAACUUUAAUCCCGUGAGCUGAGAACCCUCCCUGCGCCAUGAUAAUGUAUCUCAAAAGCACGUUUUGGUACGUAUAAAGUAAUGGCCAAAAAAAAAAAAAAAGUGUACUUUUUCCCAAGCCGACUGUUGGAAAGCACUUACACAUCUUACUUUAAAAAGGGGCCAACCGAAUGUUAAAUUAUGUUGAAGAGAUCAAGGCAGGCUAGCAUUUCAAUGUUAGUUACACUUCAAUUAUUUUUUGCUAAUAAUGGUUGGGACUUAUGCUUUGGUUGCAUUAAAUAAUUAGCUCUUGAUUGCGGUCUAUACACGCAGGUCGACGAUGCUUCCUAGGCCAAGAAAAUAAUUACGGCAACUGUUGACCGAUUUCAUUAAUUGAUUGGACUAUAAACUCAUAAUUCAAGAAACAUAUUAUAAAUCAGACGCUGAUUUCAGAGAUUCAUUGAUCUAAGAACAUACAUACAAAAUAUAGCCUGUGCCAAAGAAACGAGUCCGUAAUGAAUCAUCAAGCUAAACAUAUUUUCUUUGAUUAUCGUUUUGGUGAUUUGACAAUUUGGUUAUUGAUUUUGUUUAGGCAUGACUGAAUGGAGAAAAUCAAAGCAACUGUUGAAUUGACGAUAUUCAAUUGUCUAUUUCCUAUAAUUCUUUUCGAAGUGGACCAUAAAAACUGUUUGAAAAGAAAUAGAGAUAAAUCUUCAGCAUUUAAUGGCGUGGGGGGAAUUUUUUGGAAACGAGCAUGGUUUUUACGCAGAAGAUGACACGAACAAGUCGUCGGCAUAGGCCCAUCCUUUGUUGUCGUUUAAAAGUGAUGUAUGUGAUUUCAAAGAUCGACACGUCGUUAGCAAAAUUGCCAAAUGCUGCGACCUAUACAUCAAGUUCAAGACUGUGAAUUGUUUUCUUGUUGAUAAUGAGAACUAAUCCAAAUGGGUAGAUAAAAAAAUUCCAAUCAACGAGCAAUAUACGGCAAAGAGAACCAUUUAUAAAUAUAUGGAACUUAUUAAUGAAAGAAAGGAAUCCAAUCACUCCAAAAUCUUACAUCUCCUUCAACAGAUUGAAAAGCAAGUGUGAACGAACGAACCAACCGAGCAAAAACAAAAUUAUUUUCACUUUGGCACUCUAGCCAAGCUUGACCAAAAUAAAAAAAAGGCGAGCGUUUUAUUACACACAGAAUGGCUCAUUCCUCAUGUCAUGUGGGCCUGACGAGGCAGCUGCGUGCACCACGCAUCAUGUCUCUGCCUCUCCGCGGAUCAAAAGCAAACAGCAUCAAAAAGCACUUUCAAACAAAAACUGGAAUUGUCUAGUCUAAACUUUGCAGAGAUAAAAUUAUUGUAUAAUCAAAAUGGUAGUAGUAAGUAACGUGCACUGAUCAAUCAUAUAAAAAAGCUUUUGAAAUUAAGCCGCAAGAGUGUGUGAUGAGACUGAUUUUUAAUUAUUAGUCGUUGCUGUAGUUAUUGUUUUUGGUGUUUUGUGUUCAGUUUCAAAGGAAAUGAGAAGAAUAAGCUCAUCUUUUUGACAACUCUGCAAAAUUAUUAAUACGAGAGCAACACAUCAAGCCAUUGGGACAACUUAUUAGUUCAUCCCACAUGCUAAUGCCAAUUCUCACCCAUCGAACUGCAUGGAUAUGACACUCACAUGCCACAACCCCACUUCCAAUAUCUGUUUGUACAUUGAUUUUCGGCAAUUAUAAUGCAAACACAGCUAGCCUUGUUAGUAUCAGCUUGCAUCAAUCAUUCUUUGGGAAUUUUUGAAAAAUUAUCAUCACUUGUGACACCAUAUCCCCGAAAACCAAAAAAAAAAAAGACCCAAGAAGUGUAUAUAUAAUAUUUGCUUUAUAGAAUAUUUAAUUUGUUAAUAUUUAACCCAAUUUUUUAGAAGAGAGUAGUGAAAUUCUAUUGAUUUUGAUUUAUUACUUUGGGCUCGCUUGAGUGGGGCCUAGAUGUAGAAAUAGAGGAUCCUAGUAUAUAGGCCCAUGUCUUUGUCUUUGUCUUUGUGCUUCGAAUCUCUGAUUAGGGGGGUAAAGGCCCCACAAGUGUAAAGAGAAGGAAAGUUGUGUCAUAAAAGUAGGCCACUUUGCAGGAUUUAUCCAUGUUCCAUGCACCAUUAGGUGGGGGGGAAUGGCCAAACCCAAGAAGCACGUAUAAUGGAUCCAAUUAAUUGCCGUGGGGUCAUAUAUGUUAAAAUCCUUAACUUUUGUGUCACUUAAUUGUGGAUUUGCUACACCCACACGACACACCUAAUGGUCCGUCAACUGAAAAUGAUAUUUGCUUGCUUCUUUUCUUCUCCUAGAAUCACAUUUUUCCUUUUAUGACGCGCGGUCCUAUUCCAAAUAUCAAUCAACUUGUAGGAAAAAAAGAUAGAGAAAGCGAGCGAGAGAGAGCCCCAUCACAACCUUCAACGAUUAACACCUAACUCAUCAUCCUAUUCGUAUUUUAAAUUACAAUAAUAACUUUUAAAUCUUAUUCAUCAUUUUAUAAGGUUAUCUAAAUUAUGGAUUUUUGUACUUUGGUAUGUUGGAUUUAAUUUGGAAAUUACGUGGUUAUUUCUAUAAGUAUAUGGUGUUUGUGUUAUUCAUUGGGAGUGUGACGAUUGAGGUUUACGUACAUCUAGAUAGAUUUGAAUCUUUUGAUGGGGGGAUAAAGGAGGGAUAGUGGAGUGAAGCAGGUAAAGGCAUGGGAGUUUAUUUAUUCCAUGGUUGAACCGAAAAGCCAAUAAAGAGGAGGAGAUAUUGAAAAGCGAAGCUAAAGAAGAGAGAGGGAACCAAUGAAACCAUUCUUUUUAGGGCAUUUUGGAACAGAUGCAAGCACAUUAUAUUCUUUCACUCACAAUCAUUCAUUCCUCAUGCUAAAGCCUACAAAGACUUUUUAUUUUAUUUUCCAACCCACUAAAUGGGUUGGGGAGACUGCAACAUGAAAGGUACUUAUUAGUGCAAAUUUUAGUGAUAAUUCAAUUCCCAUCUUGGGUAGAAUCAUUGUGUUUUUUUUUUUUUUUCUUUUAUGUAUAUAUAUUUUUAAAAGUUUUUAUACCUUGAAAAGCCCCUAGUACCCAACAUAAUUCAACUACCCACUUGAAUGCUUUUCAUGAGUAAAAUCAAGAUUGCGAUUCCACCCAAAUUCGUGUAUAGUGGGUACCCAUGACAUCUAGCAAAUUUGACUUUAUUAUUAUUAUUUCUUUGUGGGAAGAUGGGAUUGAAGAUAACGAAACGGAAUAUAUUCAAUUAAAAGAUACAGUGAAGAUAGUUUGGAUUAGGGUAAGGAAAUUAAAAUCCCUUCAUGAACUUCACUUUCUGCUUUUGCGAAGCCCUUUAUCUAACUACUACUUUGAGAUAGGAACUCUUUUACUUUCUGCAAGGUAAUGGACAGAGAGAGGGGUUCUUGACACCCUUUCAACAUUCCAGACAAAAAUAGGGAUAGAAACUACACAUAAUUAUCAUUAUCAUUUUUUUUUUGUUAUAAUCCCUCUCUACACCCAUGCCAUUAAAAAUUAUAGACAUAAUUAAAUUUUAAAAUUAAACUGAUAGAAUAUAUUUUUAAUUAUAUUUUACUAUUAUCAAGAAGAAAUUAAUUAAAGCGUAAAUAUAUAUGUUUCAUAAUAAAUUUUUUAUCAUUAUGUUAUUUAUUUCAAAAUUAUUUUGAGUUUAUAAAAACAUUAAUUAUAUCAUUUUAAGAUUUAGAUAGAAUAAAUAGGGUUCAAGAUUUACAGGUAGAAACUAGACUUCAUCAAAGUUUUAUUGUAUUCAUAUUUGUCCUUUAAUCUAAUUUUAUUUUUCCUCUCUGUACUGUAAAAUUUUGACUCCAAAAAGUGGGGUUUCAUAAUGAAAUUAAGGGGUGUCAAUAGUAUUCGUCACAUGGAUUCAGAAAUUAAGCCCAUUUCAGUUUUUGGGCCAAGUGUACUAGGUGAACAACAUGAGCAAAGUCCAACAAAACACGGGCUCAUUAGUCCACUAAGAAUCCAAUUUCAAGUGACCAUACAAACAUGCAUGCAUAUAUAUACACGCACAUGUGACAACGUCACUCAUUAAAAAUUUAUAAUCUGAGCAACGUCACAGCCCUUUAUUUGCAGUGGCAAAUAGCAUUAGUCUUUUCGGCCAUUCCGGAAAAACUGAAAAAUGAAAACGCGCGCGUUCCUUCAAAUUCGGGCUCAAACAAAAAUGGGCUUCAGCAGUUUGUUUCAAUUUGACACUAAUACUAAAUUCACCGUACCAAUUUGCUGAAUAUAUCCCUCUUUGUUUCUUGAAGAUAAGAGGGGGUUCACUCUUGGAAGUCUGCGAUUCUUAUUUCCUAUAUUUUUAAUAACAUUGUAUUGGAAAAUUUUAAAUUUUGAAAAAUAUUGAAGCCGGGAUCCCAACUUUUGUUCAGUCUAAAUGCUAUGGUAUAUUGUUUUAUUUGACAACAAUCAAAUCAACAGGUAAUGUAUCACAAUAGAGAUCUAAUUAUUAACGAUUCUAAAUAUUUGAAAAUAACAAUGAAAAACUAUUUUAUUCAUCACUCACCUCGUAGCUGUUGCAUGGCAGUAAUCUAAUCUAAUCAAAUCUUAACUAAUAUCAUAAACACAAUUUAAUUAAAAUCAUCUUUUGCUUCUAUGGGUGAUAUUUUCACACCAUAAUUUUUGUGAACCCACCUCUACGUUUAAGAAACAAUUACAAUAAGUUCACAUUAUUCUUUAAAAUUUCAAACAAAGAAGAAGUUUGGAGAUUUAAUCAAAUAAAAUUAAAUACUUAAACUAUUAGAUAUAAGAGCUCAUGUUUGCAGGGGCAAUUUAGUCAUUUUUUUUAAUAAAAGUAAAACAUUCAAAUAAAAAUUUAUCUUAAAACAACUUUAAUGGUAAAAAAUACUUAAAUAACAAAAAAUAAUAAUAAUAAGAAUGAUUUGAUUGAUUAAUUGUCUAAAUAUUUUGCUGAUUUAUAUACUUUAAAAAUAAUGUGAAUUUAUUUUAAUUACUUUCUGAAAGUAAAUUGUAUUUACAAAAUUAAUGGGGUAGAAAUAUCCUCCCCCAAAAGUAAUCAUUCAGGGGGAACAAAAAUCAUUAUAUUCUUGUAAAACUCUCUUAAAAUUGUGUAAGACAUUUCCCUAUAUUUUCAUUAGUUUAUUACAAAUGCCUCUCUUGGGAUAAUUCUAUAUCGAUUUUUAAAACCAGAAACAUCAACAUGCAAGUAGAUCAAAUCUCAAGAAAGAUUAAUGAAUUGACCAAACAAGCAUAAGAGAAUAUGCCUUGUGAAUCAUGCCUCUGUGUUUUUAUCCGUACUUACAUUUGUAUGGAACAAAUUUUGCGGUCUACAUCCUUUGACUUACAAUCUUUCGAUGAUGAUUUAAACAUUUAGCUUAUGGAAUUAAUCAAAGAUUUAACUAUAGGACUGUCUAACUAACUAUUAGAGAUUAGGUGACAUGGAUGGUAGUUGUGCAAAGAAUAUAUUACAUACACAAAAUUGACUUUCAUGCACUAUACAUUAGUAUGUUAAUUAUUAACGUAUAAAAAAUUGCUAAUUGGAAUUUUCAACCAUGUUAAUUACAUAGUCCGUAAUUGAUUGUAGUACAAUGUACCUCUUGACGUACAACCACCAAAAGAUAAUUUAAUUAAACCUUUUUUUAUUUAAUUUUUUGAAAGUAGGACGUUGGACAAACGUAAAUGUAUUUUUUAACUUCUAGUUUACUUAAAAUUUAAAUUUGAGUGGUCAGUCAAAUAAAAUUACUUAAAAACCGCUCGACCAAACUCCUGUUAUAUAAACAAGCACAUUCUUUUUCAAAGUUAUAGUUACUGUUUAGGGGAUAAAACUAGGGGAGCAUAAUCAAGAUAUCACGCACACCUAAACAUGCUCUCUUCAUUAUAAAACAAUUACAAAAGGGAAUCAGGAGUAGAUAUCUUGGACGAAGUUUUUUGCCAAGUUUCAUUAGAUAGCCUAUUAAGAGAAAACCUAUGUGCGGAUUUUUAAUGAGGAGACAUUUAAAUCUAAAAAAUCAAGCACUAUAAUUUUAUUUUUUCAGUAAACUCAUAAACUAAUUUGAGCAUUAGAGCGUUAACGCUAGAAAAAUUUUCGGUGCCUCUUACUGUUUUUGGUGCUCACGGAUCCUCUGCUCAUGGUUGUAGCUUGUCCUUAAAGAUUGCGAUUUUCUUUCAUACGAAACAAAUUUAAUGAUGGCACAUAAGCUUGAUAUUUAGUUGCAAACAGACUUGAUAAGAUUUUGGAAUCAAUAAUAAUAAUAAUUAUUACUUUAAUUAAAAGAUAGCGGAUGGGCUAGGCCCAACUUAUUUUUUUUUAUCCCAUAUGUUUCUUAUUAUUCAAUUUUUGUAGGGCAGUUAAAGAAAACUGUUUGAAAAUUAGUUUGUCGAGCCCGAUAAUUUUUUUUCCCCUUUAGCCUAAUGACAAAAAUUCUCUCCUCGCCUUUAUGAGUGCCCGUUGUUUUUAAAGAUUUUACCAAUUCAAUCAACUAACACCCACAAAUUUUAAGUGAUUGAUCGAUGUCCAUUGUAACAAUUAAGACAAACUCGACACUCUUAUCUAUUAUUCCAUUAACUGGUCUUAGUUCACCAAAUAAUGUGGCUGAUUAGCUAAAAUUAAAAAAUAACUUAAUAGCCACAAGUCAAACAACAGGAUGAAUAUUGCCUCUAUGUGUAUAAUAAUAACAACUAUUUAUAUAUAUCAUUCGUUGCUGUCACGAAUUGAUGUAUGAACAAAUAGAAUUUUUCUCGGGACUUAAACUAAUAAAUUAUUAAUUGCUCUAGUAUGCCAAUCUGUGUCAAUUAUCUAAGCCCCCACACGUGUGUGUGU